rnacentral:lncRNA from 1 species
CACACAGAUAAUAAUAAUAAUCAUGUUUCCAUAAAAUUGCUAAGUCCAGAGAUAAUACAUAAACAUAGUAGACUGUUCAUGACACAUAUCACGGUGGACAGUGUUUGUGUCCUUAUUACAAGCAACGAGAGAUGCUCGUCACCAACACGCGCGCGCACAGAUGCACGACAUACAUAUAGUAGAGACCAACAGAUGGUCGUCCCAUAUGGUGAACAAUUUAUUGGAGAUAAAUAUUAACGUAACUUGGCCAUAGCUUGAAGCAUAGCAACAUAUGCCUAUGAGUGGCAUUCAUGCUAUCGUUUUAGGCUUGUCCAGCUCCUUCCAUCUUAGCAAGCACUUCCAUUUCUACCAUCUUAGCAGCAACUGUCAAAUUGAGAUACGGAAAUCCCAUUAGCGCAUGAGUUAAUUUUGCAGUGGAAAUAGAGUACAAGAUGUCUUCAUGAUGUAAGUAAUAUGCCUGAAGUUGUGAGAUGGGAAGUGAAGUCAACAAAUUACAUUAACGGAAAUGCAUGGAAGGCCACACAUACGUAUUAGUCCAUGAUAUGCUACAAAGCUUGUAUGUACAUAUAGCAAAUUAAAUGCAUUAAUUGAAUAGAGUGUGUUUAGUGAAUUUACCAGAAUCGUCCAGAAAACAUGGGAAACAGCAAGUGUUCUUGCAGACUGCGUCGGAGGCACCCGCACGAAUACAAAGCUGACAACAUAGUUUUGCCUGGGCGGAUGCGCAGCAGCCGCACUCCGCCGCGGUGGGGUUAACAUUGAGGCUCAAGAUGACCAGGCACAUGAUCACCAUCAAAGUGGUAGUCCUCUUUCCCUCCAUUGCCUCCUCUUAGCUUGCUGCUACCUUCCUUGGUUACCUAGCUAAGUUUAUUGGUUUUGUGUUGAGAGGUGUGAUUCUUGAAUGGACGUUGCCGGCGGCAAUUUAUAGGCAGCUGAGCUAUGUGAUGAUAUGGACUAGGUGCAAAUGGGUGGUUAAUGGCAAGGAAAGGGGCGUCAGACAAAGCCCAAUGGCAACUGCUGACAUGCGAUUAAAUUCAGAUCCACAUCCGGCCAUUCAAUAAUACGGUUGGAGUUGUGGCACAGAUAUAUUAUUGCAUGAUCAUCAAGAUAAGAUCGUACAGUGACUGAGUGAGACAAUAAAUAGCCAAGUAAACUAUUUUAUCCUGCUGCAAGCUGCAUUCAUAAGUUUAUUUCACCUUUGAUCACAAUACUCUUCACACACGUACGUCUCAGGGAGAUCUCACUUCCGCUGGACUGCUCACUUCCGCUGUCGUCGGUACUGCCAAAGACAUAAGCUCACAUCUGCUAUUGCGGAGCAGGCCAAUUUGCUGCGGAACUUCGGCGACGACCUGAAGGACAUGAACUCGGUGCUGGAGUCCAUCUCAGCAGCGCUCUAGGACGCUGACACCGGUAGAAAAACGACCUUCCAUCGUCAACAAAAAUCCCGGUAGCUUUUUUACUCGGUACUAAAGAGGUUUUAAUCUCGUGCAAACACCUUUAGUCCAGAUUGCUAUUACCACGCAACCCGGACUAAAGCGUCCCCCGCGAGUUAGUAUAUAAGGAUUGCAUCCUUUACUCAGUCAGAUAUAAUAUGUAGGUGAGAUGGUAAGGAAGCUAUGCGUGAGGCUUCAGGUUGUGGGUUCGAAUCCAAGUGGGUGCAGCUGUGGCUUAAGCGGCUGAGGCACGCCGCCAUAGACAUCUCAGAUUUGCUCGAAGACUACCAAGACACUAGUGAACCCUUAACAGUAAAGGUGAGUACUUAUGAAUGUCAGCAUCCAUGUUGUCCAUGCUUCCAAUGUAAUAACAAGAUGGACUACUCUUCCUAGCGGACUCUUCACAACCACUCGUAAAGCUAUGCGUUUCUCAAUGCAAUUUCGUAGAAGCCAAUCGAUCCAACCAAGUGACUAAAUCAUUCGUCCUUUCCAAUGAUGUGCAUCAGGUUUUCUAUAUGAAGGGCAUGUCUAGCAAACCUAAGAUUUCAGAAGAAAAAGAAAAAUCAUUGGAGCCAAAGAGCCACAUAGUUCUUCUAGGAAAAAAAUCAUGGGAGUCGAGAACAUAUCAAACCAAUCAGGGGAUUAUGGUCAGCUUAAUGGCAUGCCUCCAUUCGAUGUCGAAGUUCACCCAAGCAUCAUGUUAGCCAAACAUCAAAUGUUCGUGCGUUGUUACGGUAAAGAUCAAUUGUGUUUUUUAAACUCUUGGAAUUUUUUUAUCUAAGUUUUUAUUUACACUUAUUGGAUGUCUACACAUUUGCUAGAAAACUAAAAUAAUUUGGACUUAAUUAUUUCUUUCAACUGAAGUACUCACUAAAUUUCUACCUUUUUAUUUAAGCAAGAGAGUUGCUAAAAAAAAUGGAUACGUAACCAUGUUGUAUCAUACAAAGUAACCACGUUUCACAUAUAGUCCGGCUUAGCAAACACCAUUGUUUUCUGAACAUAGCGUACAUGAGUUAACAGACAUGGAUUUAUUUCUAUUGCAAGUAGCAUAGCGUACAACCUGCCUGCACCGAUGCAGCUCAAUAUGCGAUAAUUUUUAUCUUCCCAUGUAAUUUUUCUACUCUAGUACAUAUUGAACUCCACAUUAAUGUCAUGUUCUUUCGCGCCCCAGAAGGUUCCUAAAGUUUGGAAACUUAAUAGAUAGCCAGAAUUUUUUUUAAAGAUAUUUAUAUGGAUACUUGUAUGUUCUUUCCAAACUAACAAUAUUGUUUACCAAUAUCAGAAGGAAUAUGGUUAGGAGCCAUUGCCGCAUAUGGCAGGUGAUGGUAGAUGGCGUAUGGGGUUUCGUUAAUUUAAUGGUAUAAUAAGCUGAAAUACAUUUUCUAUUUGCAAAUGAAUCAUAGCUGAAAUUGGUGGGAUUGUUUUUUCGCCGGUUUAGCAUCCUGUGCACCAGUUCAACCGGAGGGAAGCUGUUUUUUUUCUUUGGUUUUCCACCGGUUCACCGAGACCGAUGACAAUUUUAUGGCAGAAUCAUUACUUGUUUUACUAUUAGGUGAAGAUUUUAGCGUUUAGGUAUCUCACAUUAAACGCAACUUCAACAAUCUAUUUCUAGUGUAUAAUGUAGGAGACCCCGUAAAGAGUCUACACACACAUAUAUGUUGACUAUGAAUGUAAGUUUGUUGGUUUUAUGUAUGUUCGUUUGGAGUUUAUAUAAAUUUUACAUUUUAUAGUUUUGUGUAUAUGACGAAGAUCCAUGACUUGCAUUAAUUUAGCCUUUCUUCCAACAACUCUUAUGCAUGAUGUUUCUAGGCGAGCGUACUGGUUGCAAUUUUGGUCCCCGAUAUAGUGUGAGGACUUAAGGGACACGUGCAGGUCGUAACCUUAGAUAUUUUUGCUGAGAAUGGAUGAAGAAGCAAUAAUAUACUUUGCUUCUGAUUUUCUCCAUGUCAUUUGCUUACUCUUAUCCCUUUUAUUUAUCAUUAUAAGAUGAAAAUAUUGUAAAAACUUGGCUACGUGCGGUCGCAGAAGCUAGAGACUAAAGCGUCCCCCACGAGUUACUAUAUAAAAGGAUUGCAUCCUCUACUCAGUCAUAUGUACUGUGUAGGUGAGAUGGUAAGGAAGCUAUGUGUGAGGCUUGAGGUUGUAGGUUCGAAUCCCACGCACCGCGUGCGCAUGCGCAUAUUUUGCGUGAAAAAUCGCAUGACUUGUGGUCGGCCAAGGAGAAGUGCGUGCGGCUGAGGCACGCCGCCAUAGACAUCUCGGAUUUGCUCCAAGACUACCAAGACACUAGCGAACCCUUAACGGCAAAGUUGAGUACUUACGCGUGUUAGCAUCUAUGUUGUCCAUGCUUCCAAUGCAAUAACAAGAAGGGCUACUCAUCCUAGCGGAUUCUUCACAACCACUCGUAAAGCUAUGCGUUUCUCAAUGCAAUUUCGUAGAUGUCAAUCGAUCCAACCAAGCGACUGAAUCAUUCGUCCUUGCUAAUGAUGUGCAUCAGGUUUUCUAUAUGAAGAACAUGUCUAGCAAAUCCAAGAUUUCAGAAGAAAAAUAAAAAUCAUGAGAACCAAAGCACCACGUAGUUCUUCCAGGUAAAAAAAACAAUCAUCCACUGGGAUGACACACAGUAGCGAUCCAAAACGUCCAUAUUAAGACUUUUUGAUAGCAGAAAAAACAUGAAAAUGUCUAAUAUUUGUAGUAUUAAAAGGAAAAAUAAUAUAUUCACUUGACCUUUUUUUCGUAGCAACGCACCGGUGCGUAGUCAGACUUAGGCCACGUUUGGAUACUCCCUACUAAAGUUUAGCACCUGUCACAUAGGAUGUUUGGAUACUAAUUAGGAGUAUUAAACAUAGGCUAAUUAUAAAACUAAUUGAACAGAUGGAGUCUAAUUUGCGAGACGAAUCUAUUAAGCCUAACUAGUCCAUGAUUUGACAAUGUGGUGCUACAGUAACCAUUUGCUAAUGGUGGAUUAAUUAGGCUUAAUAGAUUCGUCUCGCGAAUUAACAUAGGGUUCUGCAAUUAAUUUUAUAAUUAGCUCAUGUCUAGUCCUUCUAAUUAGCAUCCGAACAUCUGAUAUGAUACUGCUAAAGUUUAUCACCUAGUAUCCAAAUACCCCCUUAAUGCACGAUGCCUGUGCAUCCACUGGGCCUACCCUCGUGGAUCACGCGCUCGUGGAUCACGCGCACCAUGACAUGGCUCAUUAGCUAGUCGUGCUAAUCCUUACCACCAAAUUAAAAACUAGCAUGUGUUGUGUGUUUGUGACCCUAAACGACUACCACCUUCCCGAGUCCACCGGAGUUGCCAGUUCACCACUAAGCUGACUCUCCGAGCUUCAUGUCACUGUCACCGCUCCAAAGACCUAGAUCGGUUCGCUGUGCACCCCGCUUCGUCCUGAGCUAAAUCCCAUCACGAAAGGUGACCGGAUGCUCGUUUUCGAGCGAAUUCUAGCGAGAUUGCCACCACCUUUCCCCUUCCAGCCGAUCGCAGCUGUCUGAUCACAAACCGACAGCCCAGAUCGGAUUUGACCAGGUCAAUACCGGUCAAGCCGAGAUGCAUGCUGCUUUUGCAAGAAGGCCCCUAUUUUUCUCUCUUUUUGCACUUGAGGUCCUACGCAGUUCAAAAGUAAUUAGAUCUAGAUCCUUUUUCUUCUGUUUUAGCCCUGUUCUUUUAUAAAAUCCCACCCGCCAUCCUGUUUGGUAUUUUGACAUGUUAGACCUUCUAUUUAUAUGUUUAAUUAGGUUUUAGCCCUUGGUUUCUUUAAGUUUAGCUCUUGGAAGUUUAGUUUUCUCGCAGUUAAGCCCCUGAACCUUGUUUAGUUCAUAUCUUUAGCGUUUUAAAUCCGUUUUAAGAGAUUCUUACGCCCAUAAGUUCGUGUUGAUGCAUAGAUUAGUUGACUUAUACGGACCUUGCUGAUUCAGCUCCUUCAUUGUGCUUCAGAUCUCGCUAGUGAAGAAUAAUGGAUGGGCUUUGGUUGAGCUUGUAGAUCGACCUGCAGUUGCAGUGAAUGUGCUGAGGACUGGCGGUACCAAUAAUGGGAGGCCGCUGCUCUGCUUGCUACCAAGGCCUGCGACGCUUGGACGCCAUUCAGAGUGCAUAAUUUCCAAGGAUCUCAAGGGCUCCACACCACGUUCCAAGUGUUUUUUCUUUGCCGAGUGUUUUUAGCUCGGCACUUGGCAAAGAGCUUGUUUGCCGAGUGUCCGAAAAAAACACUUGGCAAAGAGAAAACACUCGGCAAAUUUGAUGUUUCCCGUAGUGAUGUACUAUUCAAACUUGAACUGGGAUGCAGGCUUCAGUACCAAAGAGAGCUCUGGGCGCGGGUGAGCAGUGAGCUGGCCGGGCAGGGAGCUCCAAAGCGACAGCAACAAAGAGAGAAAUGCUAAGAGUAAGAACGACACACGAGGUCACUUCACAUAGAUAAUAGCAGUACGAACCAUACAAUAUCCUCUCUCAGUUUCACUCCGCCUCACACACGGCUAGCACACCAUGCAUGCCGAUUUCAUAUUAUUAAUAUUAUUUUUUGGAUGGUUGUUGAAACUAUAUAUAUAGUUAGUCCAAUCUCACGUUUCCGAUUAUAAAAAUCAACGUAAAGAGAUCGGUAGGGAGAGCCGGCAUAAUGAAGCCGACGCGUGUAAUAAGCACCAGAGCCGGCAUUUAUACAAACUGGUACGAAUAGUAAAAAACUAGAAUUUAUAAAUAAAAAAAUGAUUUGCACAUCUAUGCAAUAAUUAGGGGUUAGUGGCAGGUCUAGAGAGAUAUCUCAUCAUUAUAUCCGGUUUAACGAGGAUAAAAAAGAGUGUAUUUUCCACUCAUCAUGUUGUCUUUUCGCAGCGGUACCACUUUUCGUGUGUUGUAUCGGUCCCCUAAUACGGAGUCUCCGAGGCCCGAGAAAAUAAGGAAAGUGAUAGUAGCCCAGAAAUCGGCCAAGUUUCUUUCCCCUUUGGCUUUCCUACUAGGAUUCAGAAUCCUCUUUCGCAUGACAAUCUUAAUUAUCUCCCAUACUCCAAAACUCACAAAAACAUCAAGAGUCCGCUGAGAAUAAAUUUAAGUAAAAAACAUGCACACACAGAUAAUAAUAAUAAUCAUGUUUCCAUAAAAUUGCUAAGUCCAGAGAUAAUACAUAAACAUAGUAGACUGUUCAUGACACAUAUCACGGUGGACAGUGUUUGUGUCCUUAUUACAAGCAACGAGAGAUGCUCGUCACCAACACGCGCGCGCACAGAUGCACGACAUACAUAUAGUAGAGACCAACAGAUGGUCGUCCCAUAUGGUGAACAAUUUAUUGGAGAUAAAUAUUAACGUAACUUGGCCAUAGCUUGAAGCAUAGCAACAUAUGCCUAUGAGUGGCAUUCAUGCUAUCGUUUUAGGCUUGUCCAGCUCCUUCCAUCUUAGCAAGCACUUCCAUUUCUACCAUCUUAGCAGCAACUGUCAAAUUGAGAUACGGAAAUCCCAUUAGCGCAUGAGUUAAUUUUGCAGUGGAAAUAGAGUACAAGAUGUCUUCAUGAUGUAAGUAAUAUGCCUGAAGUUGUGAGAUGGGAAGUGAAGUCAACAAAUUACAUUAACGGAAAUGCAUGGAAGGCCACACAUACGUAUUAGUCCAUGAUAUGCUACAAAGCUUGUAUGUACAUAUAGCAAAUUAAAUGCAUUAAUUGAAUAGAGUGUGUUUAGUGAAUUUACCAGAAUCGUCCAGAAAACAUGGGAAACAGCAAGUGUUCUUGCAGACUGCGUCGGAGGCACCCGCACGAAUACAAAGCUGACAACAUAGUUUUGCCUGGGCGGAUGCGCAGCAGCCGCACUCCGCCGCGGUGGGGUUAACAUUGAGGCUCAAGAUGACCAGGCACAUGAUCACCAUCAAAGUGGUAGUCCUCUUUCCCUCCAUUGCCUCCUCUUAGCUUGCUGCUACCUUCCUUGGUUACCUAGCUAAGUUUAUUGGUUUUGUGUUGAGAGGUGUGAUUCUUGAAUGGACGUUGCCGGCGGCAAUUUAUAGGCAGCUGAGCUAUGUGAUGAUAUGGACUAGGUGCAAAUGGGUGGUUAAUGGCAAGGAAAGGGGCGUCAGACAAAGCCCAAUGGCAACUGCUGACAUGCGAUUAAAUUCAGAUCCACAUCCGGCCAUUCAAUAAUACGGUUGGAGUUGUGGCACAGAUAUAUUAUUGCAUGAUCAUCAAGAUAAGAUCGUACAGUGACUGAGUGAGACAAUAAAUAGCCAAGUAAACUAUUUUAUCCUGCUGCAAGCUGCAUUCAUAAGUUUAUUUCACCUUUGAUCACAAUACUCUUCACACACGUACGUCUCAGGGAGAUCUCACUUCCGCUGGACUGCUCACUUCCGCUGUCGUCGGUACUGCCAAAGACAUAAGCUCACAUCUGCUAUUGCGGAGCAGGCCAAUUUGCUGCGGAACUUCGGCGACGACCUGAAGGACAUGAACUCGGUGCUGGAGUCCAUCUCAGCAGCGCUCUAGGACGCUGACACCGGUAGAAAAACGACCUUCCAUCGUCAACAAAAAUCCCGGUAGCUUUUUUACUCGGUACUAAAGAGGUUUUAAUCUCGUGCAAACACCUUUAGUCCGGAUUGCUGUUACCACGCAACCCGAACUAAAGCGUCCCCCACGAGUUACUAUAUAAGGAUUGCAUCCUUUACUCAGUCAGAUAUAAUGUGUAGGUGAGAUGGUAAGGAAGCUAUACGUGAGGCUUCAGGUUGUGGGUUCGAAUCCAAGGAGAAGUGGGUGCAGCUGUGGCUUAAGCGGCUGAGGCACGCCGCCAUAGACAUCUCAGAUUUGCUCGAAGACUACCAAGACACUAGUGAACCCUUAACAGUAAAGGUGAGUACUUAUGAAUGUCAGCAUCCAUGUUGUCCAUGCUUCCAAUGUAAUAACAAGAUGGACUACUCUUCCUAGCGGACUCUUCACAACCACUCGUAAAGCUAUACGUUUCUCAAUGCAAUUUCGUAGAAGCCAAUCGAUCCAACCAAGUGACUAAAUCAUUCAUCCUUUCCAAUGAUGUGCAUCAGGUUUUCUACAUGAAGGGCAUCUCUAGCAAACCCAAGAUUUCAGAAGAAAAAGAAAAAUCAUUGGAGCCAAAGAGCCACAUAGUUCUUCCAGGAAAAAAAAAUCAUGGGAGUCGAGAACAAAUCAAACCAAUCAGAGGAUUAUGGUCAGCUUAAUGGCAUGCCUCCAUUCGAUGUCGAAGUUCACCCAAGCAUCAUGUUAGCCAAACAUCAAAUGUUCGUGCGUUGUUACGGUAAAGAUCAAUUGUGUUUUUUAAACUCAUGGAAUUUUUUUUCUAAGUUUUUAUUACACUUAUUGGAUGUCUACACAUUUGCUAGAAAACCAAAAUAAUUUGGACUUAAUUAUUUCUUUCAACUGAAGUACUCACUAAAUUUCUACCUUUUUAUUUAAGCAAGAGAGUUGCUAAAAAAAAUGGAUACAUAACCAUGUUGUAUCGUACAAAGCAACCACAUUUCACAUAUAGUCCGGCUUACCAAACACCAUUUUUUACUGAACAUAGCGUACAUGAGUUAAGAGACAUGGAUUUAUUUCUAUUGCAAGUAGCAUAGCGUACAACCUGCCUGCACCGAUGCAGCUCAAUAUGCGAUAAUUUUUAUCUUCCCAUGUAAUUUUUCUACUCUAGUACAUAUUGAACUCCACAUUAAUGUCAUGUUCUUUGGCGCCCCAGACGGUUCCUAAAGUUUGGAAACAAAAUAGAUAGCCAGAAAUUUUUUUAAAAAAUAUUUAUAUGGAUAUUUGUAUGUUCUUUGCAAACUAACAAUAUUGUUUACCAAUAUCAAAAGGAAUAUGGCUAGGAGCCAUUGCCGCAUAUGGCAGGUGAUGGUAGAUGGCGUAUGGGAUUUCGUUAAUUUAAUGGUAUAAUAAGCUGAAAUACAUUUUCUAUUUGCAAAUGAAUCAUAGCUGAAAGUGGUGAGAUUGUUUUUUCGCCGGUUUAGCAUCCUGUGCACCGGUUCAACUGGAGGGAAGCGGUUCACCGAGACGGAUGACAAUUUUACGGCAGAAUCAUUACUUGUUUUAUUAUUAGGUGAAGAUUUUAGCUUUUAGGUAUCUCACAUUAACAAUCUGUUUCUAGUGUAUAAUGUAGGAGACCCGUAAAGAGUCUACACACACAUAUAUAUGUUGACUAUGAAUGUAAGUUUGUUGGUUUUAUGUAUGUUCAUUUGGAGUUUAUAUAAAUUUUACAUUUUAUAGUUUUGUGUAUAUGACGAAGAUCCAUGACUUGCAUUAAUUUAACCUUUCUUCCAACAACUCUUAUGCAUGCUGUUUCUAGGGGAGCGCACUGGUUGCAAUUUUGGUCCCCGAUAUAGCAUGAGGACUUAAGGGAGACGGGCACGUCGUAACCUUAGAUAUUUUUGCAAGAAGCAAAUUAUACUUUGCUUUUGAUUUUCUCCAUGCCAUUUGCUGACUCUUAUCCCUUUUAUUUAUCAUUAUAAGAUGAAAAUAUUGUAAAAACUUGGUUACGUGCGGUCGCAGAAGCUAGAGACUAUUUCUUUUUUUAAAAAUACGCAAGAGGGAGAAACUUGGUAACAGCUAGACAGUGAAGAUCGCAUUUCAUAAGAAAGAUGGUGCACGUUCUUGUUUGGCUGUUAACGAAAUGACUUCGUUUCACCACACCACCAGAGAGCCCCAUUGCACUUGCAGCAAAAGCGUGGAGCCGCUUUCAACCAGCGUGCAAUAAUGCAGUCCCGCGUGUCUUGGUCUUACAGGAUAUUUGGUUCUUUAGUCCGGACUAAAAUUCAUGUCGCAUAGAAUAUUCAGAUGUUAAAUAGGAGGACUAAACAUGAGCUAAUUAUAAAAAUAAUUACACAAAUGGAGGCUAAUUCCCAAGACAAAUCUAUUAAGUCUAAUUAAUCCAUCAUUAGCACAUGUUUACCGUAGCACCGUAUUGUCAAAUCAUGGACUAAUUAGGCUUAAUAAAUUCGUCUCGCAAGUUAGUCUCCAUCUAUACAAUUUGUUUUAUAAUUAGUCAAUGUUUAAUACUCUAUCUAAACAUUCAAUGUGACUGAAAUUUUAGGAGGUCCUAAAGAACCAAACACCCCUUAGUCUCCGCCUGAACUAUAGCAGGUGCUGGCAGCGGUAGCAGGGUCGUCCAUUAUAUCUAUGGAUGGAAAUGAUCUGAUUCGGAUGGAAUCGAAUUCGAAUAGCACUUUUUACCACAUACUAAUCUGAAUUGGAUGUUCUCGAAUGUGAAUGCAAAACGGAUAGUUCAAAUUUGAAUACUUUGCGGAUUUUUGCAUAAUAUUAAUCGAAGAGAAUUUGUUAAAUUUAGCCGAGACAUAAAUUUUUCUAAAUUCAAAUACUUUGCAGAUUUUCGAAUGCAAAUUUUUUCAUACGAUCUCGGUUGAAUACAAACUUUAUAUCAAAGUUGUAUAUUUAGAUUAUAUAUAAAACUUUGUAGUUGACCUCCUUUUCAUUUAAAAUUUUUUAAUAGCUCAAAACAUUAUUCUAAGCUUUCUAAUUUCAAAAUCUUGAAUUUUAAAUUUUUCAAACGACCUCGGAUGCAAACAAGCUCUAUAUCAAAGUGCUUAAUGAGAUAUAAAAUUUUGUAGUUGACAAGUUUUUUAGUUGAAAACAUUUAGUUAUCACAAACAUACAAGUUCUUCAUUUGAUGUCGAGGAUUGGAAGUGUUGAGUUUGAAGAAUAUAUUCUUUGAUUACAAACUUUUCCAUAUGAUCUUGGAUGAAUACGAACUUUAUUUCAAAGUUGCAAAUUUAGAUUAGACCAAAAACAGUAUAGUUUACAAUUUUUUCAUUCAAAAUUAUUUAGUAGCUCAAAAUGUUAUUCUAAACUCUCUAAUUUUGAAAUCUUGAAUUUUAAAAUUUUCAAAUGACCUCGGAUGCAAACAAGCUCUAUAUCGAAGUGGUAGUUCUUAAUGAGAUAUAAAAUUUUGUAGUUCCAUCUGAGAUCAUUUAACAGUCACAAAUAUACAAGUUUUUCAUAUGAUGCUAAGGAUCAGAAAGAUUAAGUUUGAAGGCUGUAUUUUUUUAAUACAAAUUUUUGCAUACGAUCUCGGAUGAAUACAAACUUUAUAUCAAAAUUGUAGAGCUCGAUGAGAAUUUAAACUUUGUAGUUGAUAUAUUUUUCAUUCGAGAAUGUUUAGUGGUCCAAACAUGUAUUAUAAGUUCAGAGAAGAAACACACAAUCGGCCACGUCAUCAAUUGACAACUUCCAAACUGAGCAUUCCUAUUGGUUCACACCUUUCCCUUUCAACUCGUCAAGCUUAUCUCCUCCCACUCCUCCAUCGUUCACUCCCCCUUCCCCUUCCUCUCUCCCUCCCUCCCUCCGCUCCAGCAGUGGCAGCCCGACCUGCCUCCUAGGACGGUGGUGUGCGGGGCUCGGGCAUCCCUGGCCUCUAGUGGCGUGGCAGGGCGGCCUCCAGCAGCGAUGGCGGAACUCGGCCUCCGGUGGCGCACAGGCAGCGCAGCCUACCUGGUCAAAGGCGGCGCAACAGGGCGACCUCCCCAGCCUCCGGCGGCGCGCAGGGCAUCCAUGACCUCCCCGGCCUCCCUUGCCAGAGGUGGUGCGCGGGGCUGCGCCGACCUCCCCAACCAGAGGUGGCAAGGCCCCAGCUUACGGCGGCGCGUGGCUCCCCAGCUAGGGUGUGGUGGGGCGGCGGCAAGUCAGGCGUGGCCGCGUGGGGGUGGGGGGAGGGGGUUGGGCUGGGCGGAUUCAGAUAGUAUCCAUUUAACCAUCCGAAAUGUGGAUAUCCGUUUAACAAUCCGUUUAGCAAAACCGAAUUUGGAUACUUCCACUUAAGUAUCCAACUAGGAUUCGAAUGCGGAUGGUCCUACCAUAUUGUUAUUUCAGCGGAUACGAAUAUGGGAUAAUUCGAAUAACGACUUACCCAUCCCUGAUUAUAUCCGUGUAAAUAAAUAAUUGCGGCAGCAGGUUCCCGUCGCCACGCCCCCGUCAAACCAAACAAUUGCUUGCGCGACACCGUGUUACUAGAUCUUGUACAGUACUCCCUCCGUUGCAGUACUCCCUAAUGAAAGUUGAGAAUCGAUCGACAACCACGGCUAGUUGCUAUGCACUCGAUCAGAUGGUCCAGGCGCCCGCUGGUAAUCAGGUCGUGGUUCACGCGCAUCAGGCCAGCUAUGACGUUGCCAGCAGUGCUCAGUACACAAAUCUAGCUAUCAGUCGGAUCCAAUUGGGCAGGCAUUUGCACUGUGGUUGUGUUUGAACCUGUAGAUGUCGUUGUCAUUAUCAGGCACCAUACAUCCUCUCUCAGAGGGUGUUUCACCCCCUAAACUUUAGCCCCUCUCACAUCGAAUGUUUUAGAUACUAAUUAGGAAUAUUAAACAUAGAAAAUUUACUAAACCCAUUACAUGGAUGGAGGGUAAACGGCGAGACAAAUCUAUUAAAUCUAAUUAGUCCAUGAUUUGACAAUGUGCUGCUAUAGUAACUAUUUGCUAAUGAUGGAUUAAUUAGACUUAAUAGAUUUUUCUUGCUGUUUAGCCUCCGUCUGUGCAAUUAGUUUUAUAAUUAAUUCAUAUUUAGUCCUCCUAAUUAGUCUCCGAAUAUUUGAUGUGACACGGACUAAACUUUAGAUAGCACACCAGGGACCGACACCAUGCAUGCUGAUUUCAUAUCAUAAUUAAGGAAAGUGAUAUCAUAAUUAAGGAAAGUGGUAGCAUCCAAGAAAUCGAUCAUGUUUCUUCCCCCUUUGGCUUUCCUACUAGGAUUUGGAUAGCGGGCCUUCCUACUAGGAUUUGGAAUCCGCUAUCGCAUGACUAUCUUAAUUAUGUCCCAUAGUCCAAAACUCACAAAACAUCAAAAAUCCAUCGAGAAUAAAUUAAGUAAAAAACAUGCGCACACAGAUAAUAAUAAUAAUAAUCAUGUUUCAAUAAAAUUGCUAAGAUUAGAGAUAGUACAUAAACAUAUUAGAUUGUUCGUGACACAUAUCAUGGUGGAUAGUGUCUGUGUCCUUAUUACAAGCAGCGAUAGAUGCUUGUCACCACACACACGCACGCACAGAUGCACGACAUACAUAUAGUUGAGACCAACGGAUGGACGUCCCAUAGGGUGAAUAAUUUAUUGGAGAUAAAUAUUAACAUAACUUGGCCAUAGCUUGAAGCAUAGCAACAUAUGCUUAUGAAUGGCAUUCAUGCGGGUAGCAAUGCUAUCAUAUGCUUUUAGGCUUGUCCUUAGCUUCUUCCAUCUUAUAGCAAACACUGCCAUUUCUUCCAUCUUAGCAGCAACUGUCAAAUUAAUUGAGAUAUGGAAAUCCCAUUAGCGCAUGAGUUAAUUUUGCAGUGGAAAUAGAGUAGAAGAUGUCUUCAUAAUGUAAGUAAUAUGACUCUGACAUAGGGAGUGAAGUCAACAAAUUACAUUAACGGAAAUGCAUGGAAGGCCACGCAUAUGUAUUAGUCCGAUAUGCUACAAAGCUUGUAUGUACAUAUAAUAAAUUAAAUGCAUUGAAUAGAGUGAUUUUAGUGAAUUUACCUAAAUCGGAUUAAAAAACAUGGGAAACAACAAGUGUUCUUGUAGGGCUUUGUUUAGUUCCCAAAUUGGGAGUAGCAAAGUUUGCAUUUUACCAUAAAUGCGCAACUAUAGCAUGUAGCAUUUUGUUUGUAUUUGUGAAUUAUUAUCCAAACAUUGACUAAUUAGGCUCAAAAGAUUCAUCUCGCAAAGUACAACAAAACUGUGCAAUUAGUUUUUGAUUUCGUCUACAUUUAGUACUCCGUGCAUGUACCGCAAGUUUGAUGUGAUGGGGAAUCUUGCUUUUCAAUAGUGACAAAGUUGGGAUUUCGGGGGGAAGGCCUGUGUCGGAGCCACAUGCAAGAAUGGCUGACAUUGAGGCUCAGACAAAGCCCAAUGGCAACUGCUGACAUGCGAUUAAAUUUAGAUAUCCACAUCCAGCCAUUCACAUUUAUGAGAUAUGGACACGGUGCAAAUGGGUGGGGUCCUGAUAUGGAGGUGCGAAUGGCUGUCUACUUGUAUAGUGUAGCUCCAAUGUACGUAUAUGUAUCUUAUGCAUGUAUACAGUUGCACAAACUCUGAACCAACUCUUCAUAACAGGUCUUUGUUACCAAGUAACUUUACUUUUGCACGUUUCAGCCGAGAGGUAGAAGAGAAUAUUUUUGCAUUUUCCAUGUGCGUCAGUGGUAGAGAACUAGGAAUUAGUUCCGGAUGGUAGGGCACAAAUCUUCCAAACAACUAUCCGAAAUUAAGCAAUCGAGAUAAAGGGUGCCAUCUAUUCUCUCCGAAAAACACAGGUACCAAAAAGAAGAAGAGAAGAGGGAGGGCCUCCCGUUAAGGCCCGCUCGGGGUCUCCAUCCCACCACGCGCCCUCCCAACCCAAAGCCCAUCGUUUUCCCUCCGUCCCUCCCCUCUCCAUUGCCGCCGCCGCUCCCCUCAUCCGAGCUCGAUACGGGUGGUCGGCGGCCCCUCCUCUCCGCUCCCGCCCCCGGCCUCCCUUUGACCGCCGGGCGCCGGCAUCACUGCCGCGGCCAACCCCAGGGCGCAGCGCGUGCCUCUAUUUCUCUCCCCCGUUCAAGGGCCCUUUGAUGGCGACGAGCACCCACCCACCAGGUAUGCCCUCCCCUUCUCUUCCUAACCCUAAUAUAUUCGGAUCUCACCCAGUCACAAUAUAUUACCUAAUAGCUUCGAUUUUGUUUGCAAAAAUCAUCACGUGCGCACCCAUGUCCGCUAGAUUCUUGCGCCUGAUCCUGUGCUGCUAUGGUUUGGGCGGGGUAGACUAGUUGAUUCGUGCACUUUUGGGUGCUUGUAGUGCUAGGUUUUGGAGGGGGAUAGCCCAGUUGAUUCCUCCGUUUUGGGUGCUCAUGGUGAUAGGAUUUGGAUGGGGAUAGCCCCAAUGAUUCGUGCGCCUUUGGGUGCUGGGGAUAGUUUUGGGUGCCUGGAUAGUCCAGUUUCAAUGUCAGUAUAUGCGUAUUUUGGGGAGAAUUUUGUUUUGGGUGGUUCUGGUGCUAGAGUUUCUGAUGCUUAGUAGCCCAGUUUCAAUCAAAUUCCCCCAUGGGUCGUGCACUACGGGAAACAAGAAAAUUGCCGAGUGUAUUUUUUUUGUCGAGUGUUUUUUUUCGAGCACUCAGCAAACAAGCUCUUCGCCGAGUGCCAAGUCAAAAACACUCGGCAAAAAAAAACACUCGGCAAAUCGGGGCUUUGCCGAGUGUCAAAUAAAAAACACUCGGCAAAGAAGGGGGUUUGCCGAGUGUUAAAAAAAACACUCGGCAAACAGGAGGGUUUGCCUAGUGUUUUUUUGACACUCGGCAAAAAAAUAAUUGUUUUUCCUCUUUUCACCUUGAAAUUUUUUCUACUCCCCACAUACAACACGUGGUACUCCAUGUUAAAAUUUGGUAUAUUUUUGGAUUUAUUUGCUAUAUUUAUUUAAUUAAUUGCAUUACAAGGAAAUUUUUGGUAUAAGUCAAAUUUGAACUGCAAGUGAUUCAAAUUGUGGAACAAAAUGAGUAGAAAAAUGAUAUUCAUGUUAUUUGGCUCAAUUUGAGACCUGACCCAUGAAAUGAAAAGAAAUUUCGAACAUCUUGUUCAGGAAACACGACAAUGAACAUGUGGCGGUAGUAUUUUUAAAUUGUAAAAAAAACAAGCAAAGUCUGAAAAUCAUGAGAUUUGUAGUUAUGUGAUGAUAUAAUACGUGGAAGCUGUGGAAAAAAAUUGGAAAGGUUUUGCACAUUUCAUCAUGUACGAUGAUUACAAACCGAAGCAUAUCAGAAGAAGAAUAGUAACUUUGAGAAGGAUUCGAUAAAAUUUAGAGUCGAAGUGACGGUCGAGUUCGGUUUGACUACAAAACUUUUUGUAUAGUCAGUAGAGAACAUAUCUUAUUUCGUGUGAAAAUUUGGUAUUUUUUGAAACUGUUGGAUAUUUUUAAUUUUUUUUUAAAAAAACUUUGCCGAGUGUCCUAGGGUAGACACUCGGCAAAGAAAAACUUUACCGAGUGCCCGCCUAGGACACUCAGCGAACCUUUUUUUAAACCUACCGGCUCCGGCCGGCCCAGCCCACAAACACCACCCGCCCCCCGCCCCCGCGCCUUCUUCCUCACGCCGCCCCCGCCCCCCACCCGUGCCUCCGGACCGCCCCCUCCUCCCCCUGGCCUCCCCUCACGCCGCCCCCCUCCUCCCCUAGCUCCCUCCACCGGCGGCCCUCCCUCCCCCGGCGCACAUCCUCCACUCCUCCUCCCCUUCCCUUCCCUCCCCUCCCCUCCCCUCUUCCUCCCCUGGCCGGAUCUGGCGCCCCUAGCUCCCCUUUCUUCCGCGGCCAGAUCUGGCGCCCUCCCGGCGGCGGGUCGUGGCGAUCGGGGCGGCGGCGGCGGAUCAGGCCGCGGGGCGGCGGCGGCGGCGGGUCGUGGCUACCGGGGCGGCGCCCUGCCCCUCCCCUCCCUCUCCAUCUCCGGCUGCCGUCCACCCCCUCCCCGGAUCCGCCCCCCUCCCCUCCGCGCGGCCAGCCCCUCCUCCCUCUCCGGCCGCCGCCCCGGCCCCUCCUCUCCCUUUCUCCGGCCACCGCCCCGCCCAUCUUCUCUGGAUCCGGCCGGAUCCGGCCGCCGCACAGCCCCUCCUCCCCGGAUCCGGUGGGCGCGGACUUCGUGGUGGUGGCGCCGGAUCCCUCCCCUCCCUCUCCAGAUAACUCCCUCCACUCCUCCGCUCUUCCCCUCUCUCGCGCGGCGGCCUCUCUCCGGCCGCCGCCCCGCCCCUCUCCCCGGAUCCGGGGGGGGGGGGACUCCGCCCCUCUGCCCCGGAUCCAGCUCCCCGACCCGCGAGUGGGGCGAGCUUGCUCAUGCGGUCGACGUCGAGGCCAGGGUGUGGUGGAGGUGGUGGCCGGCGGGUGUGGUGGUGGUGGCGGCGGCGGGCAUGGCGGCGCGGAGGCAAGGCACGGCGGCCGGUGGGAGGCACGGGUGCAAGGCGUCGACGGCAGGAGGCAAGGCACGGCAGCAUGGGAGGUGGUGCUGUGGUGGUGGUGCUGGCGGUGGUGGCGGCGGCGGAGCAGGAUGUGGUGGUGGCGGAGGAUGUUUUUUUUUCAAAAAUUUGUUGCCGAGUGUUUUCUCGGCACUCGGCAAAGACUUUACCGAGUGCCCGACACAAAACACUCGGCAACUCAGUGUUUGCCGACUGAAAAAUUGCCGUGUGCCGUUUGCCGAGUGUUACACUCGGCAAACGGUUCGCCGAGGGUUUUUUGCCCUUCGCCGAGUGCCCCUAGCACUCGGCAAUUUCACUAUCUCCCGUAGUGGUGGCUGGACUUAUGGGGGGAUCAUUGAUGGGGGACUAGUUGGAUACUUUUUGGCUGUUUUGGGAGUCCUUGGCAGCGGCUUCUCAGGGCGUACGUAGCCCAUUGUAGAUUCCAGCCGAGAAGAUUAAGGAAUUGUGACUGCAACCAUGUUACUUUUCUAGGACUCUGUUUCUGAUAUUGUUCCCGCUGCAUCUUUUCAUCCCCAUGGUGAAUGUUGCUGUUGAUCUGUAGAUUGGAUUUGUUCCUCGGUAGCUUUAUUAGAUUUGUGCUGAAUGAUAAUCUCUGCCUGUGAUAUUUUUCUUCAUUGCGGAUGUGUGCCGAGUAUUAUCCCCUUUGUUCAUUCUGUUGGCUUUUUUUAUUGUCUCUGUACUCGGCUGUUCAGCUUGUGCAGCUAAUGAUCUAAUGUAUUUUGUCGUAACUAUGUAUUUUUCGGAUGUGUGCCGAGUAUUAUCCCCUUUGUUUAUUCUGUUGGCUUGCUUUCAUUGAUCUUAAGAUAACUGGUGCUAUAAAUUCACACUAGCUGAUGCACUUGCAAAUAGCUAUGUAAAUAUGAAAAGAAGUAUUUUUUUAUCCUUUUGUUUGUUUGGCAUCAUAUCUGUUUAAAUGGCAUAGCAAUAAGAAUUUUUUGUUUUUGGGGAAUCAUAUCUGCUUAAAUGGUAUAGAAAAUGCUGAGUGCACUGUCAAAUAGAUUUUCCAGCAGUCUGCUUUCAGUUGUUUUUGCAAAUCCUCACAGGCCAGUGAACUGACUUUGUUUUUACCACCCCAUGCCAUUUAAAUGACUAAAUCAGUCAGCCUAAUACUAUAUAUGGUCAUGCUAUGAUCUUAUUUCUUGAAGCUCUAUAGGUCAACCCAUAAGGGUAACUUAGUUUUUCCUAUUCUGGCUGGGGAAGUGGAUACGAUGGCUAUCCUUGGUAGAGUUAAAUACAUUGGCGGCUCUUAGCGCGCCAAUGUGGCACCACAAUAUCGAACAUAUGUAGAAACCCCCUUGUUUUUUCUCAUAUCCCUCUCUCUCAGCGUCCUCUUCUCUUCUUCUCCUCUGUCUCCUCCCCUCCCAUCGCGUGCUUUAUUGCGCCGCCGCCAUCCGCCUCCAUGUAUGAACACGUCGUUUGUCAUGAAGAAGCAGUUGAUGAGGCAAUCAAGCAUGUGGUGCACAAGGUUCUUCUGCUGGCCAAGUCCGAGUCGAACAGCCGCGCAUUCAUUGGGGAAGCACGCGCCAGGCAUCACCAGGCUCCUCGUGCCCCUACUCUGCUCCAAGGACUCGGUGCUUCGACGCGCUGCUUUCCCUGUCCGGCGAGCGGGGAUCGUUGGGAGAUGAUCGAUGGAGGAUGGAGCUGAUCCUCCUGUACACGGUGCCGGUGGGGAGCAGGGAGCUGCGGAGCAGGUCCACGGGCGGCGCCAUUACAGCAGGUGCAGGCUAAGGGUAAUGAGCAGAUCGAGGCGAUGGAGGAGGACCCGCACGAGGUGCAGCUUCUUCGCCUCCUGCGCAAAGUCAGCGCCCAAGCAGCCGCUGAGGGACAGGCCGAGGCUUAGCUCGAUCUCAUCCGACUAAAUGGUGGCUGCACUCCCACAGUCCCACUGGUGCUCCUCCCUUCUGUCCGAACCUGCCGAGGAAAUCCCUCGAUGCCAUGGGUCCCGGCUGGACGACUACUCCUCCCACAGAUUGACUGAGGAAGAAGAGCUUCUCAGUGUCCAAAAAUUCAGUUACACUGGAAACAGCAACCAAUUACGUUCUUCCGGCUCAGCCAAGCCCCAAUCUCCUUGCUUCUGUGCGCCCCUGCUAAAUAUUCCAGAAACCAAUCUGGUUAGUUGUUUUUUCACAUUUUCAGUGCAUGCCGGUGCUGCUGUGUGCGGCAUGCAUGGAGUUGUCGUGGGAGUGCACGGUGGCUUAGCUGGUGCGCCAGUGCGCGGGCACGAACACAACGGUGAAGAUGGCAGGGCCAUCUCAAAGCUCCUGAGCACCUGCACGCGUCGCUGAGCAGGACAUGCUGCGACGGUGGGCGAGCGCUGCUAACGCCCUGGGGAAGAGCAGUGGGUGCAGAGAGAGGGAGCGAGGGAGAGGGGUUCUUGUAUAUGUUUGCUAGCGUGGCACCGUUUACGGUGCCCGCCUAAGUGGCAUUCACGUGUCAUUCAUCCCAAAUGGUGUUGCAAGGUUGAACCUAUUGUGGGAGGCUUUUGGUUUCCCUUGACAGUAUCACCAGUGAUAUCACUGCGUUCUGGUUAUGUAUGAAACACUUGUCCUUUUAAAACCUUUCUGAAUUUAGAAACGAAUUUGAAACAUUACCCUCAUUUCCAUGUUUUUCUAUCUUUUGUCCCUGUAAAAUCAAACUAAAUUUGAAUUAUUAUGUUCAGAACUACAAGCUGAUUUACUUGUCCCAUUUGCUAAUAACAGGGCCUUGUGAUUUCUAAUGAACAUUGCAGAGCAUGUUAUAAAGCGUAUGCAUGAACACCAAGGGGAUGAAACCAUUGGUAUAUUUCUCACAACCUUUUGAACUUAUCAUUUAGCAUAUUUGUGUUCUAGUGUGACGUUUCAGCCACGAGACAUGAGAAAUGUUAGCUAUGGAUUUUGGUUAUUCAUCAUGGGUUCACAGAUUUGUUUUUCUCUAAAAGAAUUGGGAAGUAGCUUUCUUUCUGGGUAUAUGUGGGGAAAUGCAUAUGCAAUCUUUUAUUUAUUGAGGUGACUGUAAAAUUCUUGUCUGACUGAAUAUGCGAUUUCAACCUACAUGCUAUACUUAGGGAAAUUUGUGAAUCUCCUAAUGUCUGCUGCAUGGCAUGAAUGCAUAUUUUACUGGUCCAUAAUGUGAAGUUCUGUAUAUAAACUUCUCGUGUUGACCCUUUAGAACAUGCUAACUGGAGAGUUUUCUAGAGUAGUUAAACAAGAGAUUUAGUUAAAUCUGCACACAUAGGUGGGGCCUGGCAUACCCUAAGAAUCGGCCUAGCCGGUCAGCCCAUUAGUAAAAAAAAAAGCACCGCAGUCAGCAGUCCCCACGUUGGUCUUCCUCGAGUCGCGACUCGCGAAGCUCCCAUCCUCCGAGUCCAAGAUGGUGGACUGUGUCGAGCGCGGGGCGGGCGAUUAGUUGCCCGGCCGCCGGCGGGGGAUGGCCGGACGGCCAGAUCGCCGACUCCUCUAGUCCUCCCUCCAGCCUCUGCGCUUCUUUCACAGUGGAGCUAGCGGCGAGGCGCCCGACCGACACCCUUCUUCCCAAAUCCCGGCAGCCCUACCUCGAUUUGGCCUCCUCCGAUCAUUUGAUAAUCAAUUUGAUGAAAUUAAUAUGGAGUUGCUUUCUUGUAUGGUUGCCUUCAAUCCUGCUAAUUCAUUUGCUUCAUUUGAUGCACAAAAGAUACAUAGACUUGCUAUAUUUUUAUCCACAAGACAUCACAAGCACGGAUUUGCUAAAACUUGAAUUCCAGCUCGAUAUUAUAUUGAUGAUGUGAGAUAGGAUGAUAGUUUCAAAGGCCUACAAGAUCUUGUUAACUGAGACUCAGUUAAGCUUGUUGAAACAAACAGGCAUAAUAUUUAUGACUUGGUUUACUUGCUUCUCAAAUUGGUAUUGGUUCUUCUUGUGGCGACAGCUAGUGUUGAAAGGGAUUUUUGUGCAAUGACUUUGAUCAAGAGUAAGCUAAGAAAUAAGAUGGGUGAUAGUCUUUUGGAUGAUUGUCUUAUCACAUUCAUUGAGAAAGAUAUUUUCUUUGAAGUGGAUGAAGAAGAUAUAAUUAAGACUUCAUAUCCAUUAGAAAUCGUAGGCUGGAGAAGAAGUAAUAUUUUAAUUUUCUUUGAACGUUAGGUCUGUAAGCUUCUUUUAAACUAUCUACAUUAUAAUUUAUGGACCUUUUAAUUUAACCGUUGAAUUCAUGAUAUUAUGAGAUUUUUUUAUCUAUGUUAUUAUUGUUUACCGAUUUAUUACCAAAUUAUUAGUUUGAUCUUACAAUAUUGUAUUUUGGAUGAUUGGCUCGGCAUACUCUAAGUUUAAAUCCUAGCUCCGCCACUGUUUGCACAUUAAUGUGGCUUAUAUGUGUGGAGUCACUUAACCUAUGCACUUGGACCUCCACUCCCUUAGGUUUUAUGAACCUAAUUUGACAGCCUGCUCGUCUUUUAUUUUCUACCAAUCAGCUAGGAACGAACAUGGUGAUGUUUGCAUCUCUGCCAUCAAUGGCUUACAUGUCAUUAUGUAUCACAUUAGCAAGUCUUGUUUUGUUAUUGGCUGGGAUGACGGGGACUCUAGCUGGAAUUGAAUCAAAGUGGUAGAUCACAGGGUAUUCAUUGCCAUGUAUUUCUGCAGUUGCAUGGACUUGCAUCAAACGGACCUUCCUACUUAUGUGAUUGUCCUAUAUGAUCUCCUUUGAUUUCAUUUGCACACUGUAAUCACAUUAGCUAGAACACUCGCUUUUUGCUUCAAAUUUGAAAUUCAUAUCAUGAUGGACUAGAACGCUGAAUUUCUUGAUUGCUGAGUUACUAAUCACAUUGUGGCGCUGCCAAAGAAGCUGGACUCUUCAUUGUUGUUGCCUUGUGGGCUGCCGUGUGCAAAGAACAAGAGCGCACGGUAUUAUAAUAGCAGAGCAGAACACAGACAAGCGACAAGGAGCGGAGCAGAGCAGAGCACAGCCAGGCACAAGCAGUAGAGUAGAGCAGAGCAACCGGGAGAGGAGAGGGCACAUAUGCAGAGUAGAGCAGAGCCAAGCGCAAGCAUUCAUGCACUCAAGCAUGCAGCAGAGGUGUAGCAAGGCAAGCACAAGCAGCAGAGCAGAGGGAAGGGAAGGCUGGGAGAUGAAUAGGCGAAUAGUUACCUGGACAGAGCAGAGGGAAUGGAGAUGAUGCAGAUGCUUCCGGAGACUCGAGAUUUGGAGAGGAACAAGGCCACGUUGUGAACAAGGUCUCCUUUCUCUUCUCUAUUUCCCGCGCAAGUACUUGUGCAUAGUGGCUGCCUCAUCCUCCAGGACGUCCACUUCAACCUGAGGCGGGUGCCACAGACAUCCUGGCUAUGCGACGGCUACCCCCAGCACACCCCCGGCGCCUAUGAACCAUGAUCCUAAUACUAUAAAUUGUCAACCUUGUAAUCUUAUUUCAAGCAUGCUCUCUAUGUCAACCUGUAAGGUUAACUUCGUUUUUCCUUUUCUGGGUAGGGGAGUGGAUAUUGCUGUUAUUUAUAUUAUGUUGAUAUUGGUUUCCACAUGUCAUUCACCCCAAAUGUGUUGCAAGGUUGAACCUAUCAUCGGAGGAAUUUUUUUCCCUUUACCUUUAUAUCACUACGCUCUGGUUAUGUAUGAAACACUUGUCUUCUUAAAAACCUUAAUUUAGAAACAAAUUUGAAACACUAUCUUCAUUUACAUCCUGUAUGUGUUUUCUACCUUUUGUCCUAUAUGAUCUGCUUUGAUUUGAUUUGUGCAUAGUUUUUUCAAUUCAGACCUGGUGAUUUCUGAGGUUCAUGUUGUGCUGAUAAGCAGCCUACUAUUCAGUAACACUUUCAUGUGGCAUGUUCAUGUUAGCUAGCUAGAAACACUGCUUUUAGCUUCAAAAUUCAAAUUCAUGACAUGAUGGACAUUGACAAUGAAUUUCUUGAUUGCCGAGCUAUGUACACUGUAAUUCAGACCUGGUGCUUUUAGUUUUUUUCUUGAUUGCCGAGCUAGAAACACUGUGCUUUUAGUUUUUUCAAUUCAGACCUGGUGAUUUCGGUUUUUUCAAUUCAGACCUGGUGAUUUCUGAGGUUCACGUGUCACACCGAUUUUAAGAACAAAAUCGAGUGCAUUAAAUAUACAUGUACGCUAGGAUCAGGUUACACACAUGUACGACAUAAGCGAAUAUCAAAGACAAUGCCAUAACGAAAUAAAGAGAGUAUUAAUCAUUAUUACAUGACCGAAAGUCUCAAAUAAACCACAAAAUCUAUUUAUUACAUAGCGGAACUUCUAAGAUAGCAACGUCUCCACAGGCAGCUGACUGAAGAACUGUAUGCCUAGAACUCUUCAAAAUCGUGCAGGUACUCCUCCAGAUUAGCUUGGUAUGAACAACGGUUUUGCAAGGGUGAGUACACUUAUGGUUGGUACUUAAUAAGUCGUGGGAAACAAUGUAGUGUAAGGCAAAUCAAGGUAUGGCUAAGGCUUAAACAGCAUCAGCUUUUAAUUUAGUUGGUCAAAUUUUAUUAGCAAUUAAUUAGACGUAAAUUUAUACCACCCGAAAUUAAACAAGAACAUGAAUAAAAUAAUAACAUAACCAUAAAUGAAAUGACAACAAUUUAAAUCCAUCUUUUCAUAGCAUUAUCAUGUGAGGGUCCAGUCCGUUCUUAACCGUGAGCACCGCUGAUCGAUCAGUUUUACACUCUGCAGAGGUUGUACAUCUUUACCCACAAGUCGCGUAAAAGUUCAAAAGAAUUUUGGACCCAACCAUGCGGUAUUUGCAAGGCACCAUACCACACUUCCAAGGUGUGAUUGCAUAUGAACGCUACGAGGCCUUUACAAAGAUUCAUUAGUAAGUGGUAACCCGCUAAGGUUUCGGUAUUUGGCGUGCACAACCUAUCACAGGCCGCUAAUGCAACGACUCAGUCCCCCCUCUUGCCUCAUCACGAGUAAGAUUACCCCAGACUAAGGUUUCUAAUUAUUCAGCCAAGAUCAGAACCAUUUAGUCUUGUGGUAGCACUGUUUUCCUGGGUGGUUCUCCAUGUUCCGAUUAAACAUAAUGGUCUUGUAUUAAUGGAAGGUAUAACAUAAAUAAUACCAAAUUAAUAAUAAUUCAGAUUAAAUCACCAUAACCAUAUUUGAGCACUAAGCAUGAGCUACCCAACAUAAAUUUAACCCGGUUGGUCAAGGCAAGGUAGAUAAAGUCUAGGAAAUUCUUAAUUGGGACCCAUCAAGUUUAAAUUAUACUUUGCAUGGUAUGUUGCAUAGAACAUGAAAGUAAAUGUGAAUAGGACUGAAAAGGAGUGAUUAGGGACACGACUUGCCUUUUUAACCUUGUUCUUGCUGUUCGUACUCUUCGAAAACUUUGAUCUUCAAAUCCCUUGAACUGCUGACCGUCUACACGCGUCACACGACCACAUACAAGCAAACAAAUAUAAUACAUAAGAAAACAGUACACCAAUCAUAAUUAAAUAGAAGAAACAAAUUUGAAAAGCUAUUCUACGCAUUAAAACGAAAACACGGAUACAAGGAACGUUAAAAACGGAGCUACAGUGCAAAAACUACGCUUAAAACAAGAUGCAGGGGUAUAACUACGAGAAACCAAACUUCCAGGGAUUUAAUUUUAAAUAAUUUUGAACUGCAGAAGGGGCAGCAGGGCAAAACGUAGAAAAUGCAGGGGCUUAAGCGCAAAAGCAUGGCUGCUGACUCAGCUGACUUGAUGUGGAUCGUCGGAUGGCGAUCCGGCGGCCGGCAGCUGCUGCGCUGACGUCAGCGACGGCGAGCGCCGGCGAAAAACGGCAGUUCGCCGGAAUCGCCCGGGAACGCGCGACUGGGUGCAGAUUUGAGCGAGGAUUAGACUAGCAGAUAGAAACGAGCGCAGUGAACUCAUUUGGGAUGCCUACGGCGAGGACUUGGCGACGGCAUCGGCUCCGGCGAGAACUUGCGGCAGGGAAACCAAAUAAAAUAAAAUAACACGGUUCAGAGAAGCGGCGCUGGAGGAACGCGAGCGAUUUUGCGUGCGAGCGGAAGAAAACACUGCGAGGAAGAUGACUGCGGGCCCUGCUUGUCUGCGGCAGGAGGAGAGCUGCGUGCGAGAAGAACCUGGCCACGAUCUGGGCCGUUGCCUUCGAUCUGGGCCGAGGCAAGCUAGCUGGCCCGCUGCUGCGGAAAGGUGCUGGGCCACGGGCGGAGCACAGCGUCGGGCCAGAAAGGAGAUGGCUGCUGCGAGGAAACAAAAGAAAAUGAACUGGGCUGCGACAGAGGAAAACUGGGCGUCGGCCAGAAAGAAGCUGCGUGCAGCUUGCUCUUGUUUCCGAACUAGAAACAGGAACUGACGGAAAGACAGAAAUCAAUUGGAGACUGAAACUGACGCCCCAGACUCUGAACUUCGAAAAAACAGGACAACCAGCCAACUGACAGAAAAAAAAAAGCUUAACAACCCAAAAGCAGUACACAACCACGAAACCAGGCCACAAGACUGAAAAAGCUUGAUAGGAACAUCUGGCGACUGAACCAAAAAACUACAGAACUGCAACUGAAGAACUAGAGAACAGAUAAAUAACUGAUUGAACUCUGAAACUGAAACACCAAAGAGCAGGAAGCUGACUGACGGAAAAUGCAAAACAGCAACCCAAGGUGAAACACAAAUUCUUCUUCAAGCAUUCAAACAAAGAGAUAUGCAACAGCAUGAAUGCUCAAUAAAAUCCUAUAUUUCAUUAAUUAAUUAGAAAAAAUGCUCAAAUGCCUAGAAAAAUGCAAAAGUGACCUUAUAUGCCUUAAACAAGCAAAUUCGUUUCUAGCGAUUUUUGGUAAAAUGCAAAAUUAGAGAUUUUGGGUGUUACAUCAUGUUGUGCUGAUAAGCAGCCUACUAUUCAGUAACACUUUCAUGUGGCAUGUUCAUGUUAGCUAGCUAGAAACACUGUGCUUUUAGCUUCAAAAUUAAAUUCAUGACAUGAUGGACAUUGACAAUGAAUUUCUUGAUUGCCGAGCUAUGUACACUGUAAUCACAUUGUGGGGCUGAUAAAAUAAGCAGCGUUGAGACACAUAACAAUUGAAUCUUAAGCUUCACACAGAAUCUGGACCAGUCAUCCUCAUUCCUGUCAUGCUGGAAAUGUCUUUGAUACAUUUCAAUCACAGGCAAUUGAAUUCGUACUGGGGAGGAUGGCAAUGGUGCAUGAAGAGAGAUCAAUGUGGCAAAUCUCACAUUGUUCAUUACCAGGUAUCUCCGAUUUCUGGUUAUUUUAAAUUUACCUUGACAUGUGACUUAUUGAGGUAUUGUAUUUCAUCUAAUGGUAGUUCUGAAUUUAUGGUAACCUUGGAUGGGGUUUGUCACUUUAUACACGCACGGACUUACAAAGGACAGCAAAUGAGUAUAUUUAGAGGGCUCCUGUCCAACCAUGGACUAUACUUAUGUACCCUUUUUUGACAUGGUAAUUUGAGGUUAAUGGAAAAGUAGCGAUAGUCGCCUCCAGCGAAGCUACCUUCUUCGAAAGCUCCGAGGCUGCUUUCUCGCUCUUAGCAAGCCGAUCCCUCGUAAUCAUCGAAGAGUAAGAGACCUACAGAUUUUAAAAACCAAGUUACCAAAAAUAACGAAGUAAAAGACAACACUCGCAAGACAAACCACCAAACUAUCUCAUAAUUGUACCUUCUUUACGAGGUUCGCCUCCAAGUUAAAGAGCUCUUCCAAGAUCAUUGACUUCACAGCUUGCUGAAAAUCUAUGCGCCAAAGGAUAUAGUCGUAAGCAUAAAAUAAAAAUUGGUAAAAACCAAGGACAGCAAAGCCAUCUACAAGCUGUUCUUACCCUCAUACUUUCGCACCUCAACGGCGAUCGGAACAACCUUCUCUCUAGCCUCGCCCUUAGACGCCACCACAAUCUUCCCGCCACACAAAUCCACAACCCCUCCUUUACCUUUGCCCUCUCCCGAAGUCGUCGUGCCCGCCUUCUCCACCCUUUUUGAACCGCCAACAUCUGCAUAGCGCUCGCAACCUUCACCUUCAGCCCCCCAGACCAAAGACAGGUUGUGAGGAUUAUAAACCCUACCUUCGGCGCAUGUAGCUAGAAUCUCCGUGCGCCCGCUCAAGCCCAGACACUCAUUCAGUCCCUGAAGCCCCGCCGGCAACCUCUCACCUACAUCAUAACAUUCAACUUUUAGCCUCACAUGAUCCUCACAACUAACCUUACCAACGCCCCCCAUAGUUUCUUCCAAGUCCUUCAAAAAUUUCGUUGAGGCCUCACCACAAUCAAAGAACCGUAGCAUCGAUAGAAACACCUCUACAUGCUUACCAGAUCUCACAGCUUCGGCACACCCACCCUUUGGAUCAGAUGAGAACGCAUCCACAAGCUUCGCCUUUUCGGUGGCAAACCCCCUCUCAAGUUUCCCAACAUCAGUCAAGAGAUGUUGCGCGCUCUUAAACUUCGAGCUUAUGGAAGGCACCGUGAUCUUGGUACCAGCUGCCGAAGACGCGUCAACCUUGGCACCCGUAACAGUAACAGGAGCAAAUCGAGGUUUCUUGGCGCCUCUUUUGAUCCGUGCGGCGGGCCCGGUGGAUGAAGGUGCAAGAGCUGGAACCUCCUUAGGAGGGCGCAUAGAGACAGGAACAACAUAUGCCGGAUUGCUCAAGUCGCCAGACGAAGCUGUCGACCACGAUGGCAACAUAGCAGACGAAGCCCCCGCGGUCAUUUCCUUCCUUUUUUGCGCCUCCAAAUUCAAGGUCUUUUGCUUCGCCUUAGCGGUCACUUGCAAUUCAAUAGUGAGCUUCACCAUGGGUACGAAGUCAAAUUUUGCCUUUUUCCUCUGCUCAAGACUAGCACCGCGACGGCGCCUCUUGCCCGUAACUUUGGGGUGAGGCAGAACCACAAUAUCAUACAAGUCAAAAAUCUAAGAUGAUGACAUUCCAUUUGUAUCCAUGAUUUAUAUUGUGUUCCUUGAAUAUCCAUUAAAGUCUACUUGAAUUGAUUUGCAAUUAUGUGAAUUGUAUGUGAAACUCUUUCCUUGUAUGGUUAUUCUAAAGUUGUCCCUAGUCGGAGUUCAUGUGAGGACACAUGAAUAUUAGACUAGCACAUGUAUUAGUUGAUGACUAUGUUUCACAAGUCAUGGACAUGAAGAUGUGGAACUAAUAAUGUGGGCACAUGUGGAGACACGUGCUAGGACUGACCCAACACGAGAAGUAGUUCUCUCUUUAUACAACAUAUACGCUUUGUCCUUAGACCUGAGAUUGUCGCAUGUACUCAAGAUGUGGAUCGACUUACUUAGGGGCUAUCAAAUUCUACGCCGUAACAGGGUAGUUAUAAAGGUAGCUUUCGGGUUUGUCAAGAAGCAUGCUAUGAGACAUGGUCAAUCAAGAUGGGAUUUGCCCCUCUCUGAUUGAGAGUGAUAUCUCUGGGCCCCUCGAGUGAUCGGAUCCGAAAAUGCAUGGCCAUGCUACAUACGAUUAAGAGUUAGCCUACAAAAGGAUUCCGAAUCAUAGGAUCGAGAAAGAGCGGUCGGCUUGAAGCUAGACCAAAUAUCGUGAGGCAAAGGGAAUAGCAUGUAUAUAAUGUUGUGAUGGUUCGUCUGAUAUGAUCUUCGUGUGCGUAUAGGAGUUGGCACGUCUUGCUAGAGGUCGCUACCGACUAUUGGGCCGAGUAGGAGUACUCAGGCCAUGUCUAUACGUAUCCGAACCCAUAGGGUCACACACUUAAGGGGCUGGAAGCCCAAUUCGGAUGUGAUCCGAAUUGGAUUAGGUUUAGAAGUACUAAUGGGCCUUGGACCUAGAGGCCCGUUAGGAACCUCUAUAAAUAGAGGGGUGGGGGCGCCCUAGGGUUUACACCUUUUUGGUGAAACACAUCUGCCGCGCCUCCCACGCCUUCGCCUGUUGCAACUCGCGGACCUAGCAGUCCGGCUUGCGACGCUUCCUCCCUGCACGUGUGGAUACCUUGGAAGUGUUGCUCCUGCAGCACUUGGACGAGCCGCCAACGAGCCACGACGAGCCACGAUGAGCCGACGAUGAGCCGCGGCACGAGGGGGAUCUUGCUGCACGUGGACGAGCUGCUGAGGAGCUGCUGGACGUCGAUGUGUUCGACUACGUACGACUACGCUGAUCGACUUCGCUGCAUCAACGCGAAUCUACAUCUUCCGCAUCAUUGCAUCGAGUGGUAAUCCCGUGAUCCUGAUACGGCAGUUUUCCUAGUUUACGCGGUAGAAAAUUUUGUUUUGUGCUAGUGUAGCCUAACUCAUAUCCCAACAACGUGUGCUAUAGGUCACGCAAGCCUGAAAAUGGCCACACCGGACACCGGGUACGAAAACAUGGGGGAUGGACCGAACAUUUGAAAAUGGCCUCCAUAUGUGUUUUCGGCUAUGAAAAUGUGUGUUAUAGGUCACAGAAGCUUGAAAACGGCCGCACCAGCCACUAGGGACGAAAACGUGGGGGAUGGACCAAAGACAUAAAAAAUAGCCUCCAGACGCGUGUUCGGCCAUGAAAACGUGUGGUAUAGGUCCUGGAAGGCCAAAAACAGCUACACCGGCCACCUGGGACGAAAAAGUUUGUGUAAGACCGAACACUUGAAAAUAGCCUCUGGACGCGUGUUCGGCUAUGAAAAGGUGUGUUAUAGGUCACACGAGCCCCAAAACAACCACAGCGAACACCAGCUACAAAAACAUGGGGGAUGGAUCGAAUAAUUGAAAAUGGCCUCCAGACGUUUGUUCGGCCAUGAAAUCGUGCGUUAUAGGUCGCGGGAGCCCGAAAACGGCCACACCGGCCACCGGGAAUGAAAAUGUGGGGGAUGGACCGAACAAUUAAAAAUGGCCUCCGGAUGUGUGUUCGGCCAUGAAAACGUAUGUUAUAGGUCACGGGAGCAUGAAAACGGCCGCACUGGCCACUGGGGACGAAACGUGGGGGAUGGACCGAAGACGUGAAAAUAGCCUCCAGACGCAUGUUCGGCCAUGAAAAUGUGUGCUAUAGGUCAUGCAAGGCCAAAAACAGCUGCACCAGCAACCGGGGACGAAACCAUGGCUGUCAAACCGAACGCUUGAAAAUCGCCUUCGGACGCGUGUUCGGAUAUGAAAACAUGUGUUGUAGGUCACGCGUGCCCGAAAACGUCCACAACGGACACCGGGUACAAAAACGUGGGGGAUGGAUCGAAUAACUGAAAAUGACCUCCGAACGCGUGUUCGGCCAUGAAAACGUGUGUUAUAGGUUGCGGGAGCCCAAAAAUGGCCACACCGGCCACCGAGGAUCAAAACGUGGGGGAUUGACCGAACAAUUAAAAAUGGCCUCCGAUUGUAUGUUCGGCCAUGAAAACGUGUGUUAUAGGUCAUGGGGGCCCAAAAAUGGCCGCACCAGCCACCAAGGACGAAAAUAUGGGAGAUGGACCAAAGACAUGAAAAUGGCCUCCAGAUGCAUGUUUGGACAAAAGUGUGUGCUAUAUGUCGUGCAAGGCCAAAAACAGCUACACCAGCCACCGGGACAAAAACGUGGGUGUUUGACUAAACAAGUGAAAAUGGCCUCCGGAAGCAUGUACGGCUAUGAAAAUGUGUGCUAUAGGUAAUGGAAGGCUAACAAAAGCUACACCGGCCACCGGGGACAAAAUCAUGGGUGUCAGACUGAACACUUCAAAAUGGCCUCCGGACGCGUGUCCGGCUAUCAAAACGUGUGUUAUAGGUCAUGCGAGCCCGAAAACAACCACACUGAACACCGGGUACAGAAACAUGGGGGAUGGACUGAAUAACUGAAAAUGGCCUCUAGACGCGUGUUCGGUCAUGAAAACAUGUGUUGUAGGAUGCGGGAGCCCGAAAACGGCCACACCGGCCACCAGGGCAUGGACCAAACAAUUGAAAAUGGCCUCCGGAUGUGUGUUCGGCCAUGAAAACGUGUGUUAUAGGUCACGGGAGCCCAAAAAUAGCCGCACCGACCACUGGGGAUGAAAUCGUGGGGGAUGGACCGAAGAUGUGAAAAUGGCCUCCAGAUGCGUGUUCGGCCAUGAAAACGUGCGCUAUAAGUCAUGUAAGGCUAAAAAUUGCUACACCGGGACUAAAGCAUCCCCCAUGAGUUACAAUAAAAGGAUUGUAUCCUCUACUCAGUCGGAUGUACUGUGUAGGUGAGAUGGUAAGGAAGCUAUGCGCGAGGUUUGAGGUUGUGGGUUGAAAUCCUACGCACCGCGCGCACACGCGCAUAUUUUGUGUGAAAAAUCAUGUGACUUGUGAUCGGCCAAGGAGAAGUGGGUGCAGCUGUGGCUUAAGUGGCUGAGGCACGCUGCCAUAGACAUCUCCGAUUUGCUCGAAGACUACCAAGACACUAGCAAUAACAAGAACUACUGCUCUUCCUAGCAGACUCUUUACAACCACUUUAAAGCUGUGCAUUUCUCAAUGUAAUUUCGUAGAAGGCAAUCGAUCCAACCAAGCGACUAAAUCAUUUGUUCUUGCCAAUGAUGUACAUCAGGUUUUCUAUAUGAAGGACAUGUCUAGCAAACCUAAGAUUUUAGAAGAAAAAGAAAAAUUAUGGGAGUCAAUAAUAAAUCAGGCCAAUCAGGAGAUUAUAGUAAGCUCGAUGGUAUGCCUCCAUUCGAUGUCGAAGUUGGCCCAAGCAUCAUGUUAGCCAAAGAUCAAAUGUUCGUGCAUUGCUACGGUAAAGAUCAAUUGUGUCUUUUAAACCCAUGGAAUUUUUUAUCUAUGUUUUUAUUACACUUAAUGGAUGUCUACACAUUUGCUAGAAAAUCAAAAUAAUUUUGACUUAAUUAUUUCUUUCAACUCAAAUACUCAUUAAAUUUCUACCUUUUUAUUUAAGCAAGAGAGUUGCUCAAAAAAUGGAUACGUAACCAUGUUGUAUCAUACAAAGCAACCACAUUUCACAUAUAGUCUGGCUUAGCAAACACCAUUGUUGUCUUAACAUAGUGUUCAUGAGUUAGUAGACAUGGAUCUAUUUCUAAUUGCAAGUAGUGCAGCGUACAACCAGCCUGCACCGCCGCAGCUCAAUAUGCGAUAAUUUUUUAUCUUCCCAUGUAAUUUUUCUACUCUAGUACAUAUUGAACUCCACAUAAAUGUCAUGUUCUUUCACGCCACAGACGGUUUCUAAAGUUUGGAACUAAAUAGAUAGCCAAAAAUUUUAAAAAAAUAUUUAUAUGGAUACAUGUAUGUUCUUUGCAAACUAACAAUAUUGUUUACAAUAUCAAAAGGAAUAUGGCUAUGAUCAUUGCCGCAUAUGGCAGGUGAUGGUAGAUGCCGUAUGGGGUUUCUUUAACUUAAUUGUAUAAUAAGCUGAAAUACAUUUUCUAUUUGCAAAUGAAUCAUAGCUGAAAGUGGUGGGAUUGUAGAACCGCCGGCCAUCGUGUCCUUGUAGGACCGCUGCACGAGCCUGUGAGCCACCAGCCACCAUGCGCCCAAGGGCCAUCACCACGCCAUAAGAGGAUGCUGUCUACCCGGUUUCGCGCGCCUGUGCUAGCUGCCUGAACCUGGGCCGCCGCCGGUCGCCUGCCCAGCCGCGCGUUGCGCCAGGGUUUUGCUGGUGACGACCAUGGCCUUCGCGAUCAAAUUAAAAAGUUAUCAACUGCAAAGUAUUAGGUCUCGUUGAGCUCUACAAUUUUGAUAUAAAGUUUCUAUUCAUCCGAGAUCAAAUAAAAAAUUUGAUACUCAAAGCAUAAAUCCAUUAAUCUAGUCUUGCUAAUCCUUACCACCAAAUAAAAAACUAGCAUGUGUUGUGUGUUUGUGACCCUAAACGAUCACAAAUGAAUAACUUAUGGGCCUUGCUAGCGCCCGGAUGUCCAGGCCGGGGCACUAGCAUCAGACCCACGAGUAGCCGUCCGAUCAGGUUCGACACCACUUCAGGAUCUGGCUUAAAAAGAAGUCCCACCGAAACAUUGUUCCAUGUUGCAUGAAGCAACCCACUACCGUCGCCAGGUCUAGAGCAAGCACCACCUUCAAAUGUGCUGCUCACCCUAGCUAAAUAGGGGCAUUAAAAUAUUUCUCGCAUAUCCUUCUCAAAUUAAACAAAAUCGCAACAUCUGAAAAUUUUUACAGAAAACCAUGAAACAUAUCGAUUAGAUAGAUGUAACAAGAUGGAAUAUGGUAUAUGCAACAUAUAGGUUCCGAAAAGCAGAUGAAAUAUUAUGUAAUGAUUCUUGAAACAGUCAAGAAAAAUAGAUGUAACAUCUAAAAUUAAGAAAAGAAGCUUUAUGCAAAUUGCAAAAAGCUGAAACAAGUGGUUGAAACAUUUCAAAUCACCAAAUGCCACAUUUGAAAUGACCAGAUGAAACAUCACGAAAUCAAUUGCAACAGUUGAAGAUGAAAACAUUCAAAUGCCUUGCCUUUCUCCAAAUUUGACCCUCCAAGCAUGAGUCCAGCCAUUUGCACAUUAGACCCUUGGGAGGAGCUCACCGGAGAACAACAAGACCGUGUUAUCCAACAAUUUUCAGAUCAAAUUGCAACAUAAAGAACAAAGCAUUGCAACAUCUGGCAUCACGAGCUACAACAGCAACCAGUUAGGAUCAGGAGAAAGAGGGCAAACACAAGCCUAACAAUGAGUUAUAUCCGGUUUAAACAAGGAUAAAAAUGAGUGUAUUUUACACUCAUCAUGUUGUCUUUUCGCAGCUGUACCGCCUUUAGCGUGUUGUAUUGUUCCUAACACCAAGUCUCCGAGGCCCGAAAAAAUAAGGAAAGUGGUAGCAGCUCAGAAAUCGACUAAGUUUCUUUCCCCCUUUGGCUUUCCUACUAGGAUUCGGAAUCCUCUUUCGUAUGACAAUCUUAAUGAUCUCCCAUAGUCCAAAACUCACAAAAACAUCAAAAAUCCACCGAGAAUAAAUUAAGUAAAAAAACAUGCACACACAGAUAAUAAUAGUAAUCAUGUUUCAUUAUGAUUGCUAAGGUCAGACACAAUACAUAAACAUAUUAGACUGAGUGACCCACCUCACCUCAGAGUAUGCACCAUGUCUGAGUGACCCACCUCACCUUGCCAGGACACUGGUCCUGCCCUCGUGGUUCACGCGCCCUCGUGGUUCAGCAGUGGUCAGUACACAAAUCUAGCUGCCAGUCGGAUCCAAGGGCAGGCAUUUGCAUUGUGGUUGUGUUUGAACAUGGAGAUGUCAUUAUUAUUGUCAGGCACCAUACAUCCUCUCUCAGUUUCACUCCGCCUCACACACGGAUAGCACACCAGGGACCCGACACCAUGCAUGCCGAUUUCAUAUUAUUAAUAUUUAAUUUUUUUAAUGGUUGUUGAAACUAUAUUGUUGAUAUUUUUAUACAUAAUUUACGACCUAAUUUGGAUAUAUUUUUGAAAUAUUCCGAAAUCUUAAAUUCACACGUCUAGAGAUACAGUUAGUCCAAUCUGAUGUUUCCGAUUAUAAAAAUGAACAUAAAGAGAUAGGAAGCGAGAGACGUGAGGGGGAAAGUUAAAUUAGGGCCUAAGGGGUGAAGUUAGGGUUCCAGGUGAGCUGUCAUCACUACGUGUUUUUAAUCGAAAUUGGAAUGUCAGCAAUCGUCAGAUCUUGAGCCAACAGUUGAGACUGCCUCGGAAUGGUAAUUAGGUCUGCGCGAGCUUGCAUUGUGGCCUUCCUUGAAACCUUGGACAUAGGUGUUAUAUUAUUAUGUUCUUGCCAGCACACAGCAGUGAAGGACGACACAGUUGAGAUGUGCAUCACAUUUUCUAUAUGAAGGAUAUGUUUAGCAAACCUAAGAUUUUAGAAUAAAAAGAAAAAUCAUGGGAGCCAAAGCGCCACAUAGUUCUUCCAGGUAAAAAAAAAUCAUCCACUGGACCAGCACAUAGUAACGAUCCAAAAAGUCCAUAUUAAGAUUUUUUGAUAGCAGAAAAAACAUAAAAUGUCUAAUAUUUGUAGUAUUAAAAGGAAAAAUAAUAUAUUCACGUGACCUUUUUCCCGUAGCAAGGCACCGGUACGUGGUCAGACUUAAUGCACGAUGCCUAAGCAUCCAUUGGGCCUACCCUCGUGUGGAUCACGCGCAACAGGACACGGCUCACAAGCUAUGAUGUGCAGCAGUCGCUCAGAUGGCUGAAAGGUACCCUUAAUUUGAAUGGUACCAUAUAUAUAUAUAUAUAUAUAUAUAUAGUAAACAAGACAAACCACCGUUGAUACUACUUUGCACUACUUGAUACAUAUAUCUCCACCAAAAGCGAGGCACGUGGGGAGGAGAGAUAUGUGGUUGAUGGUGCGGGCACGUGGCGAGUGCACCGUACGAAAAUUUUGCUCGUGUCGGACGACUGAUGUGAAGCAUUACCCAAUCUUAAUUAUCUCCCAUAAUCCAAAACUCACAAAAACAUCAAAAAUCCGCCGAGAAUAAAUUAAGUAAACCAUGCACACACAGAUAAUAAAAUUGCUAAUAAGGCCAGAGACAAUACAUAAACAUAUUAGACUGUUCAUGACACAUAUCACGGUGGAUAGUGUCUGUGUCCUUAUUACAAGCAAUGAGAGAUGCUUGUCACCACACACACGCGCACAGAUGCACAACAUACAUAUAGUUGAGACCAACAGAUGGAUCAACUAGAGGUCACCCCAUAUGGUGAACAAUUUAUUGGAGAUAAACAUUAACAUAACUUGGCCAUAGCUUGAAGCAUAGCAACAUAUGCCUAUGAACGGCGUUCAUGCUAUCAUUUUAGGCUUGUCCGCUUCUUCCAUCUUAGCAAGCACUUCCAUUUCUACCAUCUUAGAAGCAACUGUCAAAUUGAGAUAUGGAAAUCCCAUUAGCGCAUGAGUUAAUUUUGCAGUGAAAAUAGAGUACAAGAUAUCUUCAUGAUGUAAGUAACAUGCCUGAAGUUGUGAGAUGGGAAGUGAAGUCAACAAAUUACAUUAACGGAAAUGCAUGGAAGGCCACACAUACGUAUUAGUCCAUGAUAUGCUACAAAGCUUGUAUGUACAUAUAGCAAAUUAAAUGCAUUAAUUGAAUAGAGUGAGUUUAGUGAAUUUACCAGAAUCGUCCAGAAAACAUGGGAAACAGCAAGUGUUCUUGCAGACUGCGUCGGUGCCACCCACAGCAAUACAACCAAAACAACAUGCUUUUGCCCGAGCGGCUGCGCAGCAGCCGCACUCUGCCGCGGUGGCCGAGUUAGCAUUGAGGCUCAAGAUGACCAGGCACAUGAUCACCAUCAAAGCGGUGGUAGUCCUCUUUCCCUCCAUUGCCUCCUCUUGCUGCUACCUUCCUUGGUUACCUAGCUAAGUUUAUUGGUUUUGUGUUGAGAGGUGAUUCUUGCAUUGAAUGGACGUUGCCGCGGCUGCAAUUUAUAGGCAGCUGCGCUAUGUGAUGAUAUGGACAAGGUGCAAAUGGGUGGUCCUGAUAUGGAUAAGGUGCAUGCGAAUGGCUGUCUACUUGUAUAGUGGCGCUCCAAUGUACAUACGUAUGUAUCUUAUGCAUGUAUACAGUUGAUGGAUGUACAUGUUUGUUGCACAAAUUAUUCUGAACCAACUCUUCAUAACAGGUCUUUGUUACCAAGUAAUUUUACUUUUGCACGUUUCAGCCGAGAGGCAGAAGAGAAUAUUUUACAGAGAGGGCAGAGAAGGAGGUUGGCGGAGGCGCCGUGGUAGGGUUCCCCGUGUCGCCAAGAUUUUUGCAUUUUAGAUGUGUGUAUUGAUCACUUCGUCGUGCUCGCGGGGCCCAACUCCAGGUUGUACCCCAGCAGACCACGUUCUGUUUCUCUGCCUCCAAUGAGCAUGCAUGCCUCCACAAGGACCACAAGACUUAGUAAAAAAGCUAAACUUUGCAACACGAUGUAUACAGAACGUUUUGAAAUGUACUCUCGUUAGGCAUUCACCUCCUUAACAAUCACUGCGACUGUAAAAGAGGUACAUCGACGCUAGCUAAAUAAACCACUAUAAGAUUUAGCAAGAGAUCAUUUUAUACAAUCCUGUAACGAAACAAUUUGACAAUUAUAGUGUCCAUAUAUUUUGACAAAAAAACGUUUAAAUUAUAUAAGGAGGUGGGCCCGAAAACGGUUGGAUUACAUCGAGAACGUUUUGAAACAGUUGGCGGAGCAGGAUUCUGGCGUGGAGCAUCUACAUUGUCGCGCGCGCGGACUGCCGGAGUAGGCACGCUCGACUUGUCCCAUCGCCAGCUAAAUGAUUUAGUACCGGAUGGUCUCUAGUACCGGUUGGAGCUACCGUCCACCAGGAGCUUUUCUAGUUUGGAACUGGUACUAAUGCUAAUAUUAGUAUCAGGUCAAAAACAAUCGGUACUAAGGCUAGGGAUGACACGUCAUUUUUCUAGUAGUGUGUGCAAUUGGUUUUGUAAUUAGUCUAUAUUUAAUACUUCUAAUUAGUAUCUACACAUUUUAUGUGACAGGGACUGAACUUUAGUCCGUGGAACCAAACACCCCAUAAGUAUGUUUGGUGCUGUAAGGAUUUCGGUUUUAUUUAAUUUCCUAGGCAUUUAAAUUUCUUUCUAAAAUAAGUUAAUGAAUCAUAGGAUCUCAUUGUUGUAUUCAAGCUGGUGCAUUGAUUUUGCCUAUAAAACCCGCCGCGGUCUUCGCAGCCCCCAUCAAACCCUAGCGCCCUUGCCACAAGCUCAGCACCGCUGCCGCCCGAGCUCGAGCACUAGCACCCACCCAUCGCCGUUGCCUUCCCGUCGAUGGGAUCACCGCCCGGAGCUUCGCAUCGUGGUAAGGAAGCCGCCCGUGAAGAUCCCAUGUGCUCCUAUGCCCUCUACCGCGUCCCCGAGUUCCCGGAGUUGCUAGUCUCCCACCGAGCCGACUCUCCGAGCUUCACGUCACUGGUGCCGCUCCGAAGACCUAGUUCGGUUCGCCAUGCACCUCGCUUCAUCCUGAGCUAAACCCCAUAAUGAAUGGUGGUCGGAUGCUCGCCGCCACGGCGCGUCGUCUUUUCUGUCGCCCGUGCAUUGCCUAUCCCCUUCCAGCCGAUUGCAGCUGUCCGAUCGCAAACCGGUGGCCCUGAUCGGAUACCAAGGUCAAUACCGGUCGAACCGAGCCGUGCGCUGCUUUUGCAAGAAGGCCCCUGUUUUUCUCUCUUUUUGCACCUGAGGUCCUACGCAGUUCAAAAGUAAUAAGAUCUAGGUCCUUUUUCUUUUGUUUUAGCCCGUGUUCUUUUAUAAAAUCCCGCCCACUAUUCUGUUUGGUCUUUUGACGCGUUAGACCUUCUUUUUAUAUGUUUAAUUAGGUUUUAGGUCUCGAUUUCUUUAAGUUUAGCCCUUGAAAGUUUAGUUCUCUCGCAGUUAAGCCCCUGAACCUUGUUUAGCUCAUAUCUUAAGCGUUUUAAAUCCGUUUUAACAGAUUCUUGCGCCUAUAAGUUCAUGUUGACGCAUAGAUUAGUUGACUUAUACGAACCUUGCUGAUUCAGCUCCUUGAUUGUGCUUCAGAUCUCGCUAGGGAAGAAUAAUGGAUGGGCUUUGGUUGAGCUUGUAGAUCGACUUGCAGUUGCAGUGAAUGAGCAGAGGAUUGGCAGUGAAUAAGAUCAGGCCGCUGCCCUGCUUGGUAGGGAAAAUAUCUGCUUGCUACCAAGGCCUGUGACGCAUGGACCCCAUUGAGAGUGCAUUAUUGACAAGGACUUAAAGCCAAGGGCUCCACACCUGUCAUUGAUCAGCUGUCUGCUGGGCGCUGCAAGGAGGUAGUGCAUGUUUGACAUAAAGAAGCAGGUGGCCCAGGAUUUACGAAAAAUAAGGAUCUAUUUGAUACCCUUGCUUAUAUUUAGGGGCUAAAAGUUGCUUAUUUGAAGUUGCUUAUUUUUAAUCCUAGCUGUUUGAUUGCAUGGGCUAAAGAGCAUUGAAUGAGGUGGAUAUUGUCAUGUUUGCCUCUAAUGAUUGCUUCCCAUCACAUUUCUCCCCCCUCAUUCAACGAGGGAAGGAGGUGUAAAGUGCACCUUUUAGCCCCGAUAAGUAACCCUUGUGUUGUUUACGGGCUGAACAUAAGUAGCUAAAGUUUAGCUCCAAUAAACAAGAGUGUUUGGUAUUUUUGGGGUUAAAAGGGGCUAAACUUUAGCUGCUUAUGCAUAAGCAAGGCCAUCCAAAUAGGCCCUAAGUAUGUUUGGCGUUGUAAGUAGGUUUUAUUUAAUUUCCUAGGCAUUUAAAUUUCUUUCUAAAAUAAGUUAAUGAAUCAUAGGAGUUCAUUGUUGCAUUCACGCUGGUGCAUUGAUUUUGCCUACAAAACCUGCUGCCGUUUCCGCAGCUCCCAUCAAACCCUAGCACCCCCGCCACGAGCUCCAGCGCCGCUGCCGCCCGAGCUUGAGCACUAGCGCACACCCAUCGCCGUCGCCUUCCUAUCAAUGGGAUCACCGCCCGGAGCCCGUGUCAUGGUAAAGAAGCCGCCCGUGAAGAUCCCGUCCACUCUCGUGCCCUCUACCGCGUCCUCGAGUUCACCGGAGUUGCCAGUCUGCCACCCAGCCGCCUCUCCGAGCUUCAUGUUGUCGUUGCCACUCUAGCUGCCUCUCUGAAGACCUAGAUCGGUUUGCCGUGCACCCCGCUUCAUCCUGAGUUAAACCCCAUCAUGCCACGUCAUAGUAAGGAAGCUGCUCAUGAAGAUCCCGUGCGCUCCCGUGCCCUCUACCGCGUCCCCAAGUUCACUGGAGUUGCUAGUCCACCACCGAGCCGCCUCUCCGAGCUUCACUUCACAGUCGCUGCUCCAGCCACCACUCUGAAGACCUAGAUCAGUUCGCUGUGCACCCCACCUCAUCCUGAGCUAAACCCCAUGACGAACUGUGGUCGGAUGCUCAUUUUCGAGUGAAUUCCGGCGAGAUGGUCGCCCGCCGCCGCCAUCUCCAUCGCCCAUGCACCGCCUGUCCCCUUCCAGCCGAUGUCCGAUUGCAAACCGAUAGCCGAAAUCGGAUGUGGUCACCAGGAUUAAUACCAGUCAAACUAAGCCACGCGUGCCGCUUUUGCAAGAAGGCCCCUAUUUUUCCCUCUUUUUGCACUUGAGGUCCUAUGCAGUUCAAAAGUAAUUAGAUCAAGGUCCUUUUUCUUAUGUUUUAGCCCUAUUCUUUCAUAAAAUCCCGGCUGCCAUCCUGUUUGAAAUAGAUACGGUUAUAGAUAUGCAAACAUCUGCAUAUUUCCAACCGUAUCUCUUUCGAACGGGAGACGCCUAACUAGGUUACGUGACAUACGAACAUCAUACGGAUAGAGAGGGGUAGGAUGUCUCACCUUGCUAUCCUACAAAGUGACGACUCGAGGACAGUAAUGUAGCCUCUCCUUCAAAAAAAGAACAUACUACUAUCAAGUUAAAUUUUUGACAGCACCUCCCCUGCACGUGGAGGUUUCCAUAACCUGCAUCAAAUAAAACGGCACGAUGGCUGACAACCACAUCUACAGCACCAGAAUGGCACGAUGGCCGACUUCCACAUAAAGUUCUUAUACCUUAGAUUGCCAAGUCAAACAUCCUUUUCUAAUUUCUAAAACAAAAGCCCUCCCACCUCUCUAUCUUAUACUUUCCUAUUUACUAAUUGCUUUUGUAAUUUCUAAUUUCUAUUUCAUCCUACCACCUCUGUACCCUUUUCUCAUUUCUAAUUCCAAUUUUCUAACUUGAAGAGCAAAGAUUGAUUACUAGGAGGGGUGAGGGACGCCGGCCUAGAGAGGCGAGGGGACGUCCGGCGGCGGCGGGUGCGUCGGGGGUAGGAUGCCAGGGGCGGCUGCAGGGGCGCCGGGUUGGGGGCGGCCGGGAUCGAGGGCACCAGUAGCGGGGGCACCGGGCCGGGGGCGGCCGGCGGGGCGGGACGCCAGGGCCGGGGCGACGGGCGCCGGUGGCGAGGCCGCCCGGCCGGUGGUGGCCGGCGUGGCGCCUGGGCCGGGGGGGGGGGGCGGGCGGGGUGCGGCGCGGCGCGCCGGGGCAGGGCGCCGAGGCUGGGUGGUGGGGUACGGGGCGGCGGGCGGGGGGUGGGGGGAGGGUCGGCGGCGGGGCGCGGGGGCGGCCAGCGGCGACGGCGGAGGGCGUCGGUGGUGUUUCGGAAGUGAUACGGAGGGGGUAGAGAGAUUCGUUUUCGCGGCUGAGUGUUCGAGUCAGAAGGCCGUGCGGCUUAAGUCAGGUGGUUUGCCGAGUGCGCGCGAUCUGGCACUCGGCAAAGUCAGAAGUUUUGCCGAGUGUCAGAUCGCGGGCACUCGGCAACUGCAGCUUUUGUCGAGUGCCCUGGAUUCGGCACUCGGCAAAGUGAAGUUUUAAUUUUUUUUAAAAAAAUUUAAUCGGAACACGGGCGUGCCAGCGGGCCCGUGACAUACUUUGCCGAGUGUGUAGCAAAAACACUCGGCAAAAUAUUAUCUUUACCGAGUGUUUUCGCUAGGCACUCGGCAAAGUACACUUAUAUUUCAUGUACACUUUUUCAAUAACGUGUUUUACUAACCUUUUUCUGAUAUACUUGGGAAAAACCUUAUCAAAUUCACUCAACAAUGGAUAUAUGGUUUUUCUACUGACAUUAUUCCAUUAUUUCAUUCAGUUAUAGCUCAAAUUGAAUUUAUAUCUAUUAAAAAUCAAUAAUUGCAUUUAAUAAAUAAAAAAUACCAAACGGAUCUGAAAAAUUUCCAAAAUUUGACAUGAACCAAUCUAUGUUGUAUGUUGCCUGUACAAAAAGCUUUGAAGUCAAACCCCAAUUCAAGUGUCACUUGGACUCCAAAUCUUAUCGGAUCCUUUCUAACUUCUAUGAAUCCUUUCGGGAGAUGAGUCGGUUUGUAAGCAUCAUAUGUCAUAAAUUGGGCGAAACCUUCUCAAUUUUUUACCACAGCCUCCACAUAUAAUAUCAUGACACCUUGACAAAUCUUGUGAUUUUCAGACUUCGUUUGCUUUUUUUAGAAUUUAACAACCAUUCAACCACAUGUUCGUGAUCGUGUUUUCUAAAAAAAUGUUCAAAAUUUCUUUUCAUUUCCUGGUUGAGACCUCAAUCCGGAUUGAAUAAUAUGAAUAUGAUUUUUUCACUGAUUUUAAUCCAUUAUUUAAAUCACUUGCAGUUAAAUUUGACUUAAAUAAACAAAUUCCUAUUAAUGCUAUCAAUUCAUUAAAAAUAGCAAACAGAGAAAAAAUAGACCAACUUUUAAGAUGGAUUACCAAAUGUCAUAUGUGGGGAGUAGAAAAAGUGUGGAGAGCAGAGGUGGAAAAAAAAGUUUUGCCUUUGCCAAGUGCCUACACAAACACUCAACAAACUUUGCGGAGUGCCUAUUGAAAACACUCAGCGAACUUCUGAGUUUGCCGAGUGUCUGGAGGGAGCACUCGGCAACCUACUUAUUUGCCGAGUGUCCGCGUCGGACACUCAGCAAAGUACUAACGGCUGGCACACUCCCCUAACGGACGGCGCACGUGCAAGCCAUGUGCUGGAGAUUUAUCGAGUGUCAAAUCGUUGCCGAGUGUCGUGUGGAUGUUUGCCGAGUGUCUUAUUUGUGACACUCGGCAAAGCUAUUGUUUGCCGAGUGUAUUAUUUAUGCCGAGUGUCUUCCAGUAUACACUCGGCAAAUGAUGUCUUUGCCGAGUGCUCGACAUAAAGCACUCGGCAAAAAUUUUACACUCGGCAACAUUCCUGUUUCCGGUAGUGAGUGACCCGGGACUAAAGACCCCCGUUGUCUCUGAUUGCUUUAUUCCGGAUGGAUUUUCAGGAGAUUUGCUCCCUACCAAUAGGGACUAAAGGCAAGUUUUCCACUUAUAGCAAACCAGUUAGCCCAUUGUUGAUGGAACGCAUCACUAGAAACAGCUCGGGAUCCACUUGUCCAAUAAUCGAGAGGGCCUAUAUAUGGACCACGUGUGCGGAUCCCUAAUUAGGAAAAAAGAAUAAUGGAGUAGGACAUCUCCAUGCUCACCUAGUAGCCGCUGCUAGCUUGUGCGUGUGGAACACGAGUGCCGGCCCAGUUGGCGCUAAGACAUCGUACGUGCAUUAAGGCUACGAUCUCUUUCUUCUAACUCAUGCUUGUGCUAUUAUACAUUAUUGCAUGAUCAUCAAGAUAAGAUCGUAUAGUGACUGAGUGAGACAUGUAUGUACUAACAUGCAUUUAAGCCUCGAACUGUGUGUUGUUACGUGAGCUGCCUCCUCACCUCGCCUCUGAAUUAUUGAACCGUUUCCAACAGUGUUGGUCUCAAAUAAAUUUGACACCAAACAGAUUUAUGAAGAAGAGAGAAUAAUACUUGGAAUUGGAAAAAGUUUAUCUCUCUUUACAAUGGAGUAGGGCUCCCUUUUAUAGUGACCCAUAAGCCACUUUACAUUUGGAAAAUGUCCUUCCUCAACCACUACAUUAAUUCCUAGGAUAUGCUGUACAUAAAGGUCAUUUGAGGUAACGUGUACAAAUGAACUCUUCCACAUGGUCACGUUUCUCAUGCCUCCUGUUUUCCAACCUCGAGACAUCAUCUUCACGCCAAGUUGAUCAUCUAGCCUCGAGGCUCCAUCCACGAUCCAGAAUGAACGUCCAGGCUUGAGGCUCCUUCUUCGUUAAGCUUUGUUGAGAACUCAUAACCUCACAUAGUUCUCCUCCGAGUAUUGUUCCCGACUCAGAACACUCGAGGUUUAGCUCAGUUGGAGUUUAGCUAUUACUGUUGCUAGUCACCAGCCUCGAGCCCCUCCAGAAGCAAGGUGAUGCGAGGGUACGAGUUUUACUAUUAAAGGUGUUUCCAUAGAAUGUGCGAGGUUAAAGCACUUGCAGCAAAAGCGUGGAGCUGCUUUCAACCAGAGUGCAAUAAUGCAGCCGUGCCCAUCUUGGUCUUGGUCUCCGCCUGAACUAUAGCAGAUGCUGGCAGCGGUAGCAGGGUGGUCCAUUAUAUCUAUGGAUGGCAAUGGUCGGAUUCGGAUGGAAUCGAAUUCGAAUAGCACUUUUUACCACAUACUAAUUCAAAUCCGAAUUCGGAUUCGGAUGUUCUCGAAUGCGAAUGCAAAAUGGAUGGUUCGAAUUCGAAUACUUAGCGGAUUUUUGCAUAAUAUUAAUCGAAUAGAAUUCAUUAAAUUUAGCCAAGAAAUUAAAUUUUCUGAAAUUAAAUACUUUCCCUUCGCCCCAGCGGCGGCCUAACUCCCAGGACGGUGGCGUGCGGGGCCCGAGCAUCCCUGGCCUCUAGUGGCGUGGCGGGGCGGCAUCCAGCAGCAGCGGCGGGGCUCGGCCUCCGGUGGCGCGCGGCCAGCCCGACCUACCCGGUCAGAGGUGGCGCAGCGGUGCGCGGGCCUCCCCGACCAGAGCCGGUGGGGAGCGGUGCGCGGGGAGGACCUCCCCAGCCGGAGGUAGCAGGGCGCGACCUCCCCGGCCGGAGGUGGCUCCCUGUGGGGGCGCGGCCGUGACAGCUAGCGAGGCAAUAAUUGCUUCCGUACGCAGCAAUAAUUGCUUGUGCGACACCGUGUUAUUACUCUGGUACAGUACUCCCUCCGUUGCAGUACACUGGUCCAGGCGUCAGGACACUGCUCCUGCCCUCGUGGUUCACGUGCAUCAGGCCAGCAGACAAGCUAUGAUGUUGCCAACAGUGUUUGUUUGAACAUGGAGAUGUCAUUGUGAUUGUCAGGGACCCGACACCAUGCAUGCCGAUUUCAUAUUCUUAAUAUUUAUUUUUUUAAUGGUUGUUGAAACUAUAUAGUUACUCCAAUAUCACGUUUCCGAUUAUAAAAAUUAACAUAAAGAGAUCGGAAGGGAGAGCCCGCAUAAUGAAGCCGACGCGUAUAAUAAGCACUAGAGCCGGCAUUUAUACAAACGGGUACGCAUAGUAAAAACUAGAAUUUAUAAAUAAAUGAAGAUAUUCAAAUAUCUGGCUUACUUUUUUCAUUAAUUUUGCAUGAAUAAGGGAUGAUUCAUUAAUCAUUAUUGAACAAAUUGGCACACAUGCUUCGUGCCCGCGUUGUGAGCAUUAUGCGAUGCCACUGAGCUGCACCACCACGGUAGAGGGCCUGUUUGCGAUGCCACCGAGCUGCACCACCACGGCAGAGGGUCUGUUUGGGAAGGGGAAGUUAAAGUUUAACACCCCCCAUUUAACACCUUUUUAACAAAAUGGCUGCUAAACACUUGUGUUAAAAGAGUAGUGUUAAAAUUUAACACCUCUCUUUUCAUAAACACAUGGAGGGGGUGUUAAAAUUUGCUAAAUGUGUUAAAAGUGGUCCCCUCCCCACUUAUUCCUUGGUUGCCCCCCUCUCUCUCCUCCUCUCUCUCCUACCCGCCGCAUUUAAGAGCAUUAUUGAGGGGUAAUGCAGUCCUUUUCCAACAAAAGUGUUAAACUUUAACAACCCUUCCCAAACAUGCCACAAGCAACACCACCGGCUGACUGUGCUAGCGGGGAGCACCCUCACCGCCUGCCCGUGGGGACUUCUUCUGCCGGCCAUCGUGUCUUUGUAGGACCGCCGCGUGAGCCUAUGAGCCACCGGUGGCCGUGCGCCCAAGGGCCAUCACCAUGCCACCUGAGGAUGCUGUCUACCCGGUGCCGCGUGCCUCUGCUAGCUGCUUGCACCUGGGCCGCCGCUGGUCGCCUGCACAGCCACGCGUUACAGCCGCCCCCCUGCGCUGGGCCACCCCAUUUCGUGUUGGAAGAACUGCCACAGUCUCGCGCACUGGGGUUUUGCUAGUGACGACCAUAGCCUCCAAGAUCAAAUGAAAAAGUUGGUACUCAAAACAUACAUCCAUUAAUCUAGUCGUGCUAAUCCUUACCACCAAAUAAAAACUAGCAUGUGUUGUGUUUUUGUGACCCUAAACGAUCACAAAUGAAUAACUUAUGGGCGUUGCUAGCCUAUAAGUUAUGGGCGUUUGUGACCCUAGUCGCGCCGGGGUCUUGCUGGUGACAACCAUGGUCUUCGCGAUAAAGUAUUAAGUCUCAUCGAGUUCUACAAUUUUGAUAUAAAAUUUCUAUUCAUCCGAGAUCAAAUGAAAAACAAAUGAAAAAAUCCGAAGUAUUAGGCUUCAUCGAGCUCUACAAUUUUGAUAUAAAAUUUCUAUUCAUCCGAGAUCAAAUGAAAAAAUCCGAGAUCAAAUGAAAAGUUGGAACUCAAAACAUACAUCCAUUAAUCUUGAUAUAAAAUUUCUAUUCAUCCGACAUCAAAUGAAAAAGUUGGUACUCAAAAUAUACAUCCUUUAAUCUAGUCGUGCUAAUCCUUACCACCAAAUAAAAAAACUAGCAUGUGUUGUGUGUUUCUGACCGUAAACGAUCACAAAUGAAUAACUUAUGGGUGUUGCUAGCGUCCCGGACGCUAGCAUCGGACGCAUGAGCAGCCGUCCGAUCGGGUCCGACACCACUUCACGAUCUGUCUUAAAAAAAAGUCCCACCGAAACAUUGUUCCAUGUUGCAUGAAAUACCCCACUAUCCAUCGCCAGGUCUACAGCAAGCACCACCUUCCAAUCUGCUGCUCACCCAAGCUAAAUAGGGGCAUUAAAAUUGCAGAAAUAUGUCACAUAUCCUUGUCAAAUUAAACUAAAUCGCAACAUCCGAAAAUUUCUUACACAAAACCAUGAAACAUAUCGAUUAGAUAGGUGUAACAAGAUGGAAUAUGGUAUCCAACAUAUAGAUUCCGAAAAACAGAUGAAACAUUAUGUAACGAUUGUUGAAACAGUCGAGAAAUAUAGAUGUAACGAUUAAAAUUUAGAAAAGAAGCUUUAUGCAAAUUGCAAAAAGCUGAAAUAAGUGGUUGAAACAUUUCGAAUCACCAAAUGCCACAUUUGAAAUGGCUACAUGAAACAUCACGAAAUCAAUUGCAACAGUUGAAGAUGAAAACAUUCAAAUGCCUUGCCUUUCUCCAGAUUUGACCCUCCAAGCAUGAGUCCAGCCAUUUGCACAUUAGACCCUUGGGAGGAGCUCACCGGAGAACAACAAGACCGUGUUCUCCAACAAUUUUCUGAUCAAAUUGCAACAGACAAAACAAAGCAUUGCAACAUCUGGCAUCACGAGCUACAACAUCAACAAGUUAGGAUCAGGAGAAAGAGGGAAAACACAAGCCUAACAACCCCAAGACAAAACUGAUGUACUCAUCAUACAUCACGGCUUGCCGUGCACAGAGAUGAAGGCCGCCAAGCUCAAUCGAGACAGAGACGACGUGAUAGUGCUCCAGAUCGACGGUCCCCAUCAAUUGUUGCGUACACUGCCAAAAGCAAUGGAAGAAGAAGGGUCGUCCCUGCUCGACCUCCGUAGAUGAGCGCAGAUUGGGGGAAACCGUAUAGAGUGCCGCUGACAGCACAGGCGAGGGGGCUCAGGCUUGAUUCAGGGUGAGGGUAGCGGGUAGCAUGAGGAGACAGUCAGGUUUCAUAGGAGAGAGGCGGAGUAGAGAGCUCUGGUGACUCGGUGAGGAGGGUGCGGCACGGAGAAAGGUGUGUAGCUGAAGGAGCUACAUGGUUGGGGCGAGGCGAGCGUAGAGACUAGAGAGGGAAAAAAAGCAUGGGGAGGAGACGAUAUGUGGUUGAUGGUGCGGGCACGUGGUGAGCGCACCGUAUGAAAAUUUUGCUCGCGUCGGAUGACUGAUGUGAAGCAUUACCCAAUCUUAAUUAUCUCCCAUAAUCCAAAACUCACAAAAACAUCAAAAAUCCGCCGAGAAUAAAUUAAGUAAACCAUGCACACACAGAUAAUAAAAUUGCUAAUAAGGCCAGAGAUAAUACAUGAACAUAUUAGACUGUUCAUGACACAUAUCACGGUGGAUAGUGUCUGUGUCCUUAUUACAAGCAAUGAGAGAUGCUUGUCACCACACACACGCGCACAGAUGCAUGACAUACAUAUAGUUGAGACCAACAGAUGGAUCAACUAGAGGUCACCCCAUAUGGUGAACAAUUUAUUGGAGAUAAACAUUAACAUAACUUGGCCAUAGCUUGAAGCAUAGCAACAUAUGCCUAUGAAUGGCGUUCAUGCUAUCGUUUUAGGCUUGUCCAGCUUCUUUCAUCUUAGCAAGCACUUCCAUUUCUACCAUCUUAGCAGCAACUGUCAAAUUGAGAUAUGGAAAUCCCAUUAGCGCAUGAUUAAUUUUGCAGUGGAAAUAGAGUGCAAGAUAUCUUCAUGAUGUAAAUAACAUGCCUGAAGUUGUGAGAUGGGAAGUGAAGUCAACAAAUUACAUUAACGGAAAUGCAUGGAAGGCCACACAUACGUAUUAGUCCAUAAUACGCUACAAAGCUUGUAUGUACAUAUAGCAAAUUAAAUGCAUUAAUUGAAUAGAGUGAGUUUAGUGAAUUUACCAGAAUCGUCCAGAAAACAUGGGAAACAGCAAGUGUGCUUGCAGACUGUGUCGGAGCCACCCACACGAAUACAAAGCUGACAACAUGCUUGUGCCUCGUGGGAUACGCAGCAGCCGCACUGUGCCGCGGUGGCCGAGUUAACAUUGAGGCUCAAGAUGAACAGGCACAUGAUCACCAUCAAAGUGGUAGUCCUCUUUCCCUCCAUUGCCUCCUGUCGCUGCUACCUUCCUUGGUUACUAGUAAGUUUAUUGGUUUUGUGUUGAGAGGUGAUUCUUGCAUUGAAUGGACGUUGCCGCGGCUGCAAUUUAUAGGCAGCUGCGCUAUGUGAUGAUAUGGACAAGGUGCAAAUGGGUGGUCCUGAUAU